rnacentral:lncRNA from 1 species
GAGCACUCUGCCGCUGAGAGCUGGAUCUUCAGUUGGCGGACAUUCGGAACCUUUCUCAUUAUAUUUGCCGCUCUGUCGUCCAAAGUCACAGUCAAGGUGGAAAGAGUGUCUAAAUUCCAGAGGUCAGAGGUGUUUUCAAGAUUUUCACUCGGCAAAGAACAACUAACGUUCCAGCCCACCACAUGUAGAUGCCUCAACUUGGUCAUGUUCCAUAUGGUAUCUGGGAAUGAAACAGUACCAGAUUCAGCAAUCACAACAAAAGUUUCUAAGUUGGAGAGCUUGUCAAUUGUGGAGGGAAUGGAACUCAUUGCACCCUGAACACCCAAGUAUCUCAGCUCAACAAGAGCUUCUACUUCUCUAGGAAAAACCUUAUGCCGCAGAAAAAUUUGCUCCAAAUCCAACACUCGAAGUUUUUUGUAGAUGCCAAAGACAAAUGACAUAUCAGCCAUGAAUGAAUCAGACUCUUCAAUCUGACUAAACAAUAGCAGACUGCAUAGUUGUGGACAGAAUAGCCUUGACUUCUUAAACUGCUCUACCUUGGACCAAAUGGACAACCUCUCGAGGUACGGGUGCUCAUUAAAAGUGGAAAGUUCACCGUAGCCACGCAACACCUGUAGGAAAUUUUCUUUUUUGGCUCUGUCCUUACAAAACUCGUGUAAUAGAUCAUGAAUGCGACAAGUUUUGACUCCACCAGUAUGUCCUUGUUUGGCAACCAUGACUAGGUUUCUGCCAAUAAGAUCCAUCAUGUAUUCUUCUGCUAAAUCCUCUAAUCUCUUUGGCUCUGUAUCUUGCACAAGCUCUUCAACAGAUACAAAGCCUUCUGCUAUCCAUAGCCUCGUCAACUUCUCAGUUUCAAUUUCUUGAUCUUCUCUAAAUGCUCCAAAGUACAGAAGGCAUGGUAUCAAAUAAUGCGGUAAGUGCCUGUAACUCAGCUCCAAUAUAUACUUGCACUGGUCAUACACAAUGGCUGAAGUUAAUCUAUCUGCAACGUCACUCCAAGCCUCAUCCUCUAUAGUUGACAAAAUUCCAGCUAUGAUGACUAUGGUAAGAGGCAAUCCCUUGCAAUUUCUUGCUAUUUGCUCCCCAAGCAUGCGUAGUGGCUGAGGACAAUCUGCUUCUCCAAACACCUUCUUCUGCAAUAAUUCCCAACUCUCUUCUUUGGUAAGUUCACGAAGAUUGUGAUGUUCCACAGAAUCCACACCAAUUCUAACCUCUGAAGCCACGCUAGAUUCUCGAGUUGUAAUUAGGAUUCGGCUUCCAGUACUAUCGUCAGGGAAUGAAUGACGCAAGCCAUGCCACACCCCAAUGUCCCAGACAUCAUCUAAAACAACGAGAUAUCUAUUCCUCAAUAACAGUCUCUUGAGGUAUAGCAUUAAAUCAAUCUCAUCCAGAACUUUGUGCUCUUCAUUCACCCUACCCUGUAUACCAACAGAGGACAAAAUUUGAACUAGUAGAUUUUUCAAGUUAUAUUCUUGAGAAACAGUACACCAAAGAAUAAUACGGAAGUGACCCUGAACUCGGGGAUCAUUGUAAACUUUUUUAGCUAAAGUGGUCUUGCCAAGUCCAGGCAUUCCCACAAUGGGAACAAUUUGCAACUUUGUUGAUCCUCUGUUGAGUCUGUUAAUCACUUUUUGUGCCUCAUCCUCGAGACCAACUACAAUUUCACGAGUUAUUGGUGCUCUACCUCUUGAUGGCUUGAAACGGGUAGUCUUGCGAACUUCUUGUCCUCUGAAGCUAUGAUAAUGGGGAAGACUUCCUGAGAUUCUUGAACCGCUUACAUGAUCCACAAUGAGCUUAACACUGUUGUUGGUAGUAACCAACAUAGCACAACAAUCAGCGGAUUCUCCGACCACUAAGGAAUCAACCUCGACUUCUUUCACUCCAUUCAGAAAGAGUGAGAAAAUUACAAUUCCUGCCUCACUAAUAACAGCUACAAUUUUAUCAUUUAGCUCAUUCAUAUUCUCCUGCGCCUCAUUUAGAAUGCUUCUCAAAAAUCUCAGUCCCUCAUAGAGUCUUUUCAUUUGAUCUUUCACAGAAACUGCGAAGCUGGUUCUGCACCAUAGGAGCUCCCAAAGACUACUUAUGAGAGAAUCAUUAAAAUUCUUCAGUAUUUGCAUAUCUGUCUGCGUCGUAAGCAAUGAUUCUGGGGAUUUCGGAGCUUUAAGGACUUUGACAUAUGUCUCAUAAACUUGGAGGUCAACGGGGUUAAUCUUCUCCAGUAGUUCACUGAUUAUGGAGCACAUCCUGGGAUCAUGCAUCUCUUCAUCUUCCUUGUAAAACAAACACUUGUAAGAGAGGCGUGCGGCAUUUAGAGCCACAACUUGAACGUGAGCCAACAGAUCUCCCAAUUCACGUUCUUCAACACCCAGAAAUUUGGCAAAGCCAAUGAAAUUUUUCAAGAAUGUAAGCUUGUCUUCAAGGGCCUCAAUAUGUGCGUGCAAAGCACUGUUGUAAUCUUCCAUGGACUCAAAAUACCGACGGCUGAGAAGAUCGAUCAGAUUCUGUAGAACGGAGUCUAUGAAGUCCACGAGUUCAUAGUCUCUUAAGCAAGAGCCGGACUCUGAUGAGCUGCAGCUCGACAAGGUUUCGUAUAUGUCGAUGAUAUCUUGCUUAAAGGACUUGAUGUUUCCCAGCAAAUUAGAGACGACGGGUUUCAAAGCUGUGACUACGCUUUUCAAAUUGAAUGAACUUUUGGACCUAAGAUUGAGGGACUUUAUAUCCAUCCCAGAUCUGUUUACAGGAGCUUCAAUCUUAGACAAGAAAGCUCGAAGCCUUACCUUCAAUUGGUCGCUGCUCCAGUUUCUUGCACACAGAAGAACUGGUUUCAGGAACAGCAGAUUCAGCUUGAGAGCCUCAAAAUCUUCACGCAGGUUGGAAAAUCCAGUUUCAAACGAAUCACGUUUUUCGAGGUUGUUGUGGAGCAACUCCAGAUUAUGCAAGACGGAGUCGACACGAGUGGAGGCCAUGUCUCUAUCUCUUUGCGGGGAUCUUCCUCUGACUCUCGAAUUUCAGAGAUGGUAAAGGAGAAAGAAACCUCAGCAAUAGAGUAUUUUCUCGCUGAAAAAUAAUACUCCCUGAGUCAGCAUGAACGAAACUAUGGGUGUUGUUGGUUUCUCUGCUUAAUCAGGGCGGUUGACUUGGUGAAAAAGAAAAAGGGUAAUUUUCGUCAUGGAAAAUAAAUAAAUAACGAAUUUAUUAACUUUGCAUUUACUCAAGAAGAAUCCACUUUAAAAAAAUAAAUAAAUAAAAGAUCCACUAAAAACGGCAACAAACAAGCGUUAUGACACUAAGAAAGCGACAGUCCACCUGCACUUGCAUGAUAAAAGACGCCUACACUUGCAUUAUCAACAAGGAAAUUUCUUUAUCCUUCAAGUGUGAAAGGUUUGUUUUAAAUUGAAACAGGACAAAUACCAAAGUGAAAGACAGGAUUUGUUCAUCCUUCAAGUGUGAAUGUAAGACAAUUACCAAAGUGAAAGAAAUUCUCUCUCUCUCUCUCUCUCUCUCUCUCUCUCUCUCUCUCUCAUUUUUUCUUUUGUCACUCCCUUUUUGAUCAAACCUCUUUAGUUUUAAUUUAUUGAUAUUUUCUUCUAUCUUUUAAUUUUGUUUUUGUCUGUUAAAUUGAAAAAUUAAAAAAGAAUUAUUUUUCUUUAACUCUAAACACUAAUUAUUAAAUGCCAUAACCAUUCACUUUUAUCUCAUUUUUUGUUUCUUAUCAAUUUUGCAUUUUCUUUUUUUGAUUCUCUUAACUUCCUUCAAACUCCAAAUUUCCUUUUUUUAAUUGCAAUCUUUAAAUCCCAAAAACGCAAAAUUAAAAUUUAAACUCACAAUGUUUAAAUUCUCAUGGACGUGAAUUUUGUAUAAUUUCAAAAUAUUGUGGUAGUUUUGGGUUGAAUUUAAGAUUAUUUUUUGGUAGAUAUAAUUGAAAUUGAGAUGUAAUUUAUUUGUUUCAACUUAUAAUUUUAAAAUUUUAUUUCUAAAAAUCCAAGUUAUUCAAAAAUAUUAAACUUUUCAUCAUAUAAAGUUUUAAAUUAGCCUAGUACAUGUCUUAAGAAACAGGUGUAAGUUUCUUUUAAGCAUUAUCACUCUACCUUAUCCUCAAGGAUAUUUCUCCUUUUAUUGCACUAGAUAAGGGACAAAUAUAGCUUUAAGGAAAGUGUACAUAAUACUGAACUUGGUUAUAAUUUUCUUCUACUGGCAUACAUAUUUGAAAAAUUCCCUUUAUUUCUAUUUUCCAACAAUCUUUAAGACUAAAAGAGUUGGCAACCAACACUUUGAAUAUGUCAUGACAACACCAAAACUUAGCACAUAAGGAGACGAAAAAUCUCUUAAAGAAACUGAAAAGAAGCAAAAAUGGGACAAUGAUUAUUAAAUUUAGAGAGGCCACAUCCUUGAUUAAAUUUGUGUUCCAUAAUCUACCUCUCACGGUGACAAUUCAAAUCCAAAUGUGUGCAAGAGGAUACUACAAUCAAGAAGUUCUUUGUUUCUUCUUUUUAACAAUUAUAAAAUGAUAGAUACAAGACCUAUUAUGGAACAAUUUGCAGAAAUUUUGAACCGUUUUACUUAAUAAAAUAUGCAUAUGGAUGAAAUCAUUGCUGUGAGUUCCAUAAUAGACAAAUUGUUUCCAACAUGAAAAGAUUUCAAGAGAAGUAUGAAAUAUAAAGAGAGAGGACAUCUGUCUUGAAAGUGUUGCCAAGUCCUUAAGAGUUGAGGAGGAAUUUCGCAUGCAAAGGAGGAAACACAAGAUGAGAUCCCAGAUUCUUCUACCAAAAUGCACGUGAUUGAAGAGGACAGUCAAGCAAGUCUCGAGACAAGAAAGAUGAUCAGUACAAGAAUCACUAAAAUAACGAGAAAAUGAAUAAGAGAGGAAACUGCUGCUAUUGCAACAAACGUGGACACUGCAAGUCCAAAUAUAGACUUUUUAAGAAGGCUAAAAAUGAGAAGUAAGAGACAUGCAAUAAUGCAAGUAAAGGGAUAAUUGCAAUGAUCUUCAAGGUGAACCUUAUGGAAGAUGGCUUUGCUUAGUUGGUCAAUGGUACUGAGGCUAUAAAACAUAUAUGCAAAAAUAAGGAAUUCUUCAAAUCUAUGAAACCAGCUCAAAAUGGAAUAGUUGCUUUACAUAAAAUAUUCAGCCACAGCUCCCAUUGUAGGAAUAAGUGAAGUUGAAUUUGGAAUUUACUUGUCAAAACAUUAUAACUCUUAUUAAUGUUCUUGAUGUACAGAGAGUUAGGGAGAAUCUUGUUUCAUAUGGUAUGUUAAACAAGUUUCGUUUCAAAUUUCUAUUUGAUACUGAUACGUUCAUACUUCCUCAGGCAUGUAUGUAUGUAAGAAAGGGUUAUCUUUGUUAUGGUAUGUUCAAACUUAAUCUACUGGCAAUCUACAAUAAUAAUAAAGGAGAAUUGUAGUUUUAGUCCCCAAUGUUUAGCAUAUAUGUAAAAUUAAUCCCUAAUGUACUAGCCAAAACAAAUUUGGUCUCCAAAAUUUCUAAUAUUAAGCACAUUUGAUGGAAAUUCAACAAUGACUAAUGGUCAAAAUCAAAUUGCCAUUAGUCAACAAUUUUGAACUUUGUAUUUUUGGUCCAUCAUGUUUGAAAUUUUAAUCAUUUUAGUCACUUUAGAUUUCAAUAGUGAUAUUGAGGGUUUUAGGAUAAAAUAAGAUGCUAAUUAAAGUGAAAUUGUGUUAAAUGGGUACUAGGAAUUUUAAUUAAACCUUUUUUUAUUUUAGACACUAAUUUCUCAUAUAUUUCUUCCUUUUUGUAUAAUCCAUCCCAAAUUUGGUAUAAUAUAUAUAAUUAUUAUUUUAUGCUAUUAGUAAUUAACUGAUAAUUAAUUGAUAAUGAUUAAAAGCACUUGAUAUGGUAUUUAUCUUUACUAGAUUUUAUAAUUACAAUUCCUAACUAUAGCAAUUUAAGUCCUAUAUAUGUAUACAAGUCAUGCAAGAACUUGUGUAGUAGACUAGCAAUGUAAUGAUAAUAAAUUUUUAUAUUAAUACUAGAAUUAUCUCCUUUUGUUUUUUAUUUUAUAAAUUAUUCAUAUAUUGUCAUCCGAUUGUAAUGUAUUCAACAAAAUUUAUACUUUUUUACUUAAAUGAUGUUAUUGUGUUGAUAUAAAGUGUUUUCAUCUAGUUCUGAAAAGAAGUGUUGUCAUGAAAUUUUAUAGGCAUUUAGGAAGACAUUUGUCAUAUAUGUAAUUGAAUUCACACUUCAUUUUGUCUCUAAACUUGAAAUUUUAUAGGCAUUUAGUAAGACAUUUGUCAUAUAUGCAAUUCAAUUCACAUUUCAUUUUGUCUCUAAAGCCCGAAUUAUAACUACUUGAAAUUUAAGUGACCACAUUAAUUGAAACAUCAAACAUUAGGGACUAAAAAUACAAAGACAAAACUUUUGACUAAAAACAAUUUUGAGCUUUGUAUUUUUGAACCCGAAGCCCCAAAAUGUUCCAAAUUAAAUGAGCUGAGUUUGAGCUUAUGAAAGUCCGGCUCAUUAGCCCCGAUUGACAGGCCUAAUUAUGACACUUUAAAAAAGGUAUUUACUCAAGAAGAAUCCACUUUAAAAAAAAAUAAUAAAAGAUCCACUAAAAACUGCAACAAACAACCAUUGGGAGUUUAGGAAAGAAAAGAAAAGAACAGAAACCUUAAGUUAGAAAAGAAAAGAUUAUAAUAUUUUUUCAUGUUGUUUGAGAGUUUUAGAGAAGAAAGGAGAUGAAAUAACUUUCCUUUGUUUAGAAGUGGAGAAAAGUGUAAAUACAAGAUUCAAUUUUAUAUAAAAACUCUUAAAUCCUAAGAUACCAUGAGAAUUCUAUUAGGUUAUAUAAUUAUAUUUUAAUCUUUUAAGGAUAAAAGUGGCAUAUGGUAUAAUUCAUUUAACCCACUCCACUUUCUCACAUUUUCAACCCAAUUUUGGGCAGAAAGUUUUUCUACAUGGAAGGGAGCUGACAUCUUUCCGUUUCUUUUGAAUUCUUUCCUAUCCAAAGUCCCAAAUGUGAGAAAGAUUCAACUUUCCUUUGUAAUCUUUUUUUUUCUCACCAAAUCUGCUCUUCCAAACUAGCUGUAAGAGAGCGACAGUCUACCUGCACUUGCAUGAUAAAAGACCUUUGCUUAUUUAAAUUUCAGCGGGCCAACAUUCUUGUACGAGGAAAGCAACCGGCACCCACACUUGCAUUAUCAACAAGGAAAUUUCUUUAUCCUUCAAGUGUGAAAGGUUUGUUUUAAAUUGAAACAGGACAAUUACCAAAGUGAAAGACAGGAGGAUUUCUUUAUCCUUCCAGUGUGAAUGUAAGACCGCUUCCACCCACGCAACCAAAAUAUAAGAGAAUGUAAGACUUGGCCCUUUAAUUGUUUUGGUUGCUUUAUUAAGGAUCCAAUGGAGAUCAUUUAGUUUUAUCAAACCAAAGUUAAUUUAAGUAUCAAGAACUACUAAGACAUAUUCACUUUCUGUGCUCAGCAAUUUAUGAUGAUACAUGUACUGCGUGGCUAGUACAUGUCUGGUUGAAAUGUUCACCUAGCUGAAUUUUUUUUUUCUUUUUUAACCUAUUCAUAUUUUUCUUUUUUUUUUUUCCUACCAACUUGCCAAUUUGCAGAUUGCCCAAUCCAAAUAUACCGAUAGCAAUAUAAUAAAAAGUAAAAUAGAGAGUGACAUAAGAAAUGAAAUAGAAUAUCCAUUUUGCCUUUCUUAUUUCCACACCAAAUUUUUGUUAAAAUGUAAUAAUUAUGUCCCUCAAUGAUCACAGGUUGGGUACACUUUUAAAAAAGCAUGAAUUUGUUAUUUCAAAAGAAAUUAACUGUGCUAUUAAAAAGUGGACGGCAACAUUAUCGCCGGCCAUCAACAAAAAAAUGUUGGCCCCGCCUUGUAACUUGACUGUAGCAGCUUUUAACCUUUUUCCAUUUCGUUUUAGAAGUGGAACGUAACGAAAGAAAAGGUUCCCGACAAGCAUCACGUACUAGACAGGAAAUACACUGAAUUCUUUGCUCUUUUUUUUGCCCCUUUUCUAACCAUGAUGCUACUGAAAUAGUAUGGACACAAGACGCGUUGUUGCCUUGUUGGUGAGAAAAUACAAAACAACUGUUUUUGGGAUAGGCUACCUGUAAAACUGGUUAAAGAAAAAAUUUCCAAAACUUCCCAAUUCAUCUCCUCUAUCCUUCCUCUCCCUCUUCUGCUUAACCCCUACUCCUCUGAGUUCCUCCGUCUUGUCAUAUAUAUAAAUAUACAAGUCAGAAACGACAAACUCACAGUGAAACUAAGGUCCGUUUGAAUUAUUAUUUUUUAAAAUUUUUAUAAAAUAAAUACUGUAAUAAUUUGAAGCAUAUGAAAUGAAAAGACGUUCCAAAAAUGCGUCCACAAAUGAUAACGGGGCCAUAAUUUUUUUGAUAGAAAACUGUACAAUUCAAACAUAGUCAAGUUUUGGAUAUGGAUGCUUUCAAAAUGGUUUUGAAGGGAAUACUUGGGCGCACCUAGGGCUGCAUGGGGUGUUCAAUUUGUUGGGAGAUGCACGAGGCAGUUGCUCAAAAAAUUUUUGAUCUUUUAUUUAAGGUAUCGAUUAUGACCUUCUUUUUGUUGUCAGAGGGUUUAAAUUGAAUAAAAGGAAGGCCGUAAUCAUGAAUAGAGCGAAAAGGCCAAAAAAAAAAAAAAUAGGAAGGAUUUCCUGGGCAAGAAUAGUCUGAUAAGCAGGGAUUUGGCAGCGGUGAUUGAACUUGAGUGACUGUAUCUGCCACUGCAUCGAAGGGGAAGAUGACUAUUUCUCAAAAUCGCACUUUAACCUACUUUUCCGUCAAAUUUUCCGUCAAGUUUUAUUUUCGCCCAGAAAGUACUCGACAAAUUGCAUCUCAACUCCAAAACUGUUUCUUUCAAGGGUGAUUUCAAAAACCUCCCCUGAGAUCUUUAAUAAUAUCAUUUAGUUUCCUUGUAAGUUUUAAAACUUCACUUACCUCUACUAUAAGCUUGACAAGACUAAAUAUCUCUAUAUAUAAAGCCUGAGCAGGUUUGAUGUUAAAAAUAAGUGUCAUUAUUUAUUUUUCUGAAUAGACCCUUCCAAUAUUCAGUAUCAUUUCAUAUACAUCUUAUCUACUAAACUUUCACUUCUACGUACCUAACUACCGCUACACUCUUCCCAUGUUAGUCCUCUACUGUACCCACUAAUCAAAGUUGCUUCAAUACAUCACCUUCCAUUUCUAUUAUUCUAUAAUUAUAUUCCUUGCUUUAAAUGUUGCAAGAAUCAACUUGACUGGAGGAUUGCAUUUAUUUUAACUCUCUGUUAUCAACACAAUUUUCGAUCAUUAUUUACUUUUUUUCCCAAAAUAUGCAUACAUAUUGAGUAUGCAUCACCCACAGUCCCUAUUAAAAGUUGAAAAUUAACAAUAUUGCUCUUGCACUCUUAAUAACUAUUUAACCAAUAAAAUAAAAUAAAAUUUUGAAACCAAAAAAUGUAGAUAAAAAAUAACUAAAUUGUUAUCCAAUAUUGGUCCAUAUUUCUUUGCAUCGAGGUGGUUUGGGACAGCAAAGAAUGUGAGUAAAUUAAAUCUAAUCAAAGUCAACCAAAUAAAAAAAUUUUGUUAAGUAAUUAACACCUUGAAAAUUUUCCUAGACAGUUACAAAGAAGUCAAGAAUUUUUUUUAAAAAAAAUAGUUUAAUGCAUGACGUAGUUUAAAUUGUAUUGAAAAUUAAAAUAAUCUCUUCAUAUAUGUGAUUUGUAAUAUAAAUCCUACUUAUAGAAAAAUAUUUUAUAAUUAAGUCAUAAUUAAAAAAUUAAUAAAAAAAAGUGAUCUAAAGGAGAUAUCAAUCCAUUGACAUUCCUCUUAUGUCAUUUUAAUGGUUAACAUGUCAAAAACUAAAAUAAACAACGAAUGACAAGAUAGUAUUGCAUAUUUACUUUACGAUAUCUACGAAGGCCUGCAUUCAGUAUUAUAAUUUAUUGUACUCAUAAAAAUGUCAUUAAGGCUUUCAUAGCCUAGAAUUAAUAAAUAUUUUUUGAGGGGAGGGGGAAAUAUCUAAUGGUUAACAUGUCAUCCAACAUAUAAACAUAUAUUGACACAUUUAUCAUCCUUAAACUUGCUAUAUAAACACACUUGCCAGAUUCAUGAACCUAGAAGACAUUAGUACGAAUAACUUGAUCAUUUUGUUAUGCCAUUACGAAGUAAAUUCAUAUAAGGAUUUAACAAGUUUAUAUACCUUAUGCUCUUGACCAUGCACAAGAAAACCUUUUAGGAUUUUGGACCAACUAGUAAAUUUACCAAACUCUCGUUAGCCUAUUUGUUUGUUUAUGAAUGUCGAGUUGAUAAAAGAAUUGAGAUUUUUUUUGUAUGAUUCAGUAAUCUGGUCUUUUCGUUAGGAAGCAUUCUUCUCCUUUCAAUAUGUUAUACUGUAGUAAAUGACUACGAAGUUAUAAUAAAUUUUUUAGUUUUAAGCAUCAGUGGGAACUACAUAUAUGAUGUUUGAAUUUUGAACUUUUUAAUUUGGUUGCUAAGUGAGUACAUAUUUUGAAAAUACAGUGAGGUUUCCUGGAUAGUUAAUGUCAGUGAAGCCAUUGGCACUGAUGUUAAUGAUUUUUGUGAGCUCUUCUUUUGUCCCUUGUUUUUUUUUUUUUUUUUAAGUUUUGACUACAUAGUAUACAAGAAUUUUGGAAGGAAAGUAUUAGCAGGUAAGAACUCAUUGUAUAGAACUAAUCUAUAAUUUUUAGCAUCUCUUAGACAACAUGGCUGGAAAGCUCAUUUGAAGAUUAAGCACUUAUGGAACAAAUUCAUCCGGAAUUCUGGAGUGUAACUUUUGAGUAUUGGAAGAUCUUGCUGCAGAAAAUUAUUGUUCUAUACUUGGUUUAUAUUGUAAAAGUGCACUGAUUUUUUGUUCUAAGGUUUUUUUUUUUUUUUUUUUUUUUUUUGAGAAAAGUAGGGCUUUACCCCGAAGGGAGCCCUUCCAGAAAUUCUCGAUGGCCUAGGCCAAACCCAAGCCAAAGAGGGGGUUUGGAAAUAGUUUUCAACCAGCAAUAGACGCGCCUCGGUUAGAACCUCACUAGCUGCGUCAUUGCCCAGGCUCAAAGAUUUUUUGUCCUAAGGUUUAAGAAACAGGUGUAAGUUUCUUUUAAGAAUUAUCACUCUACUUUAUCCUCAAGGAUAUUUCUCCUUUUAUUGCACUAGAUAAGGGACAAAUAUAGCUUUAAGGAAAGUGUACAUAAUACACAACUUGGUUAUAAUUUUCUUCUACUGGCAUACAUAAUUAAAAAAUUCCCUUUAUUUCUAUUUUCCAACAAUCUUUAAGACUAUAUUUGAAGAACUGCUAGUUCUUUGAAAGAGUUGGCAACCAACAUCGUGAAUAUGAAGGUGAAGGAAACUUCGUAUGUUGACAAAAAAUGAUGAAGGUUGUAUGUGUCUUGACAACACCAAAACUUAGCACAUAAGGAGACGAAAAAUUUCUUAAAGAAAAUAAAAAGAAGCAAAAAUGGGACAAUGAUUAUUAAAUUUAGAAAGGCCACAUCCUUAAUGAAAUGAAUGAUGAACUCUUUGAUAUUUACCACACGGUGACAAUUCAAAUCCAAAUACAUGCAAGAGGAUACUAUAAUUAAGAUCAGUUCAUUGUUUCUCCUUUUUAACAAUUAUAAAAUGGUAGACACAAGACCUUUUAUGGUACAAUUUGCAGAAAUUUUGAGAAAUUUUUGAACCGUUUUACUUAGUAAUAAAAUAUGCAUAUGGAUGAAAUCAUUGCUGUGAGUUCCAUAAUAGACAAAUUAUUUCCAACAUGAAAAGAUUUCCAGAGAAGUUUGAGAUAUAAAGAGAGAAGACAUCUGUCUUGAAAGUGUUGCCAAGUCCAUAAAGAGUUGAGGGGGAAUUUCGCAUGCAAAGGAGGAAAGAUUCUCAAACACAAGAUGAGAACCAAGAUUCUUCUACCAAAAUACAAGUCUUAGCCUACAUGCUUUAGGCAUUUUUAGGAUGAGGAGAGAACUUUUGCUACUUCUUAAAUGUUGAGAUACACAUUGUAUAGGUUUUUGGACCGUUGCUCAAAUACUACAAGUUUUUUUUCAAUACAAUCAUCUAUUGUUUCCGAAAAAAAAAGAAGAGGGGCACUCGAGCAAGUCUCGAGGCAAGAAAUAUGAUCAAUACAAGAAUCACUAAAAUAACGAGAAAAAUGAAUAAGAGAGGAAACUGCUACCAUUGCAACAAACCUGCACACUACAAGUCCAAAUAUAAACUUCUUAAGAAGGCUAAAAGUCAGAAGUAAGAGGCCUUCAAUAAGGGAAAAAUCAACUUUUCGUCGCUAAAUUUUGAGAGACAGACAUUUCGUCCCCAAACUUUUAAACGCAUCCGCAUUUAGUAUAUGAAUUAAUUAUUUUUUGCCAUAUUUAGUCCAAAAACAGUAAAUUGUUUGAUUUGGAUGGAGAAAGUCACGUGUUUGGCACGUGGCCGUUAAGUAAAAACAAUUUCUCAGUCAAAAUUAACGGCCACGUCAGUCUUCUCCAUUCAAAUUGAACAUUUUACCAUUUUUGGACGAAAUGUGGCCCAAAAUAAUUAAUUCAUGAUGGUGCGUCUAAAAGUUUGAGAACGAAAUGUGUCCCAACUCAAAGUUUAAGGACAAAAAGUGGAUUUUUCCCCUUUCAAUAAUGCAAGUAAAGGGCUGGUUGCAAUGAUCUUCAAGGUGAACCUUAUGGAAGAUGGCUUUGCUUAGUUGGUUAAUAGUACUAGGGCUAAACAUAUAUGCAAAAAUAAAGAAUUCUUCAAAUCUAUGAAACAAGCUCAAAAUAGAAUAGUUGCUUUACAUAAAAACUUCAGCCACAGCUCCCAUUGUAGGAAUAAGUGAAGUUGAAUUUGGAAUUUACUUGUCAAAAUAUUAUAACUCUUAUUAAUGUUCUUGAUGUACCGAAAGUUAGGAAGAACCUUGUUUCAUAUGGUCUAUUAAACAAGUUUCAUUUCAAAUUUCUAUUUGAUACUGAUAAGUGUAUACUUCCUCAGACAUGUGUGUAUGUAAGAAAGGGUUAUCUUUGUUAUGGUAUGUUCAAACUUAAAGUACUGGCAAUCUACAAUAAUAAUAAAGGAGAAUUGUAGUUUGAGUCCCCAAUGUUUAGCAUAAAUGUUAAAUUAAUCCCUAAUAUACUAGCCAAAACAGAUUUGGUCUCCAAAAUUUCUAAUAUUAAGCACAUUUGAUGGAAAUUCAACAAUGACUAACGGUCAAAAUCAAAUUUGUGAGAGCCUUGAAAAAAAAAAGAUAUAUAUAUAUAUAUACAUGUUGCAUUUGCAUUUUGGUCUUUUAAUAAAUUUUAUUGUUACUUGUUCGUAAAUAAGUGUGUAAAAAUAAUUUUUAGGUUACAAAUAAUUCAAUUGUGCAAAAUAUUAAAUUAUUUGAAUUUUGCCAAGUUAAGUUAAUAUUUCUUGAUGUAGGUUAUUUUAUUUGCUUUUAUAUUAAUUCCUUGAAUUCCGAUAGCUAAUUUUACGUAUUUAUAAUUGUUAAGUGCCAACGGGAACCUAGGAUUAAGACAAAAUCGGCUUUAGGUCAAAACCUUUAUAACUACACUUUGGACGUUAAAAUCUCGAUAAUUUAAUUUUGCGAGACUAGUACACUAGUAGGCUAUCAAAUUUCUUUUGGAGUGGUGCAAAUGUAUAUAACAAAAGUUGGGAGUUCAUGCAUGAGAUCAUAAGAUUUCAGGCCUUGGAAAGCAAUUAAACUACAAUCAAAUGACUAAACUAACCCUUCAUAUUAGCAAAUCCUCCAUGCGGCCAUCAGACUCCCUAUAGAUUGAGGGGAGAGCUUAGGAAUCAUCAACCCACCGACUGAAGAUGCAUUGUGAUCCACUACCUUGAUAUUAACGGCUGAGAGGAACAAAAGAAAGGAAACAAGAGCCACCGAAAUUUCUUUCAUCUUCAUUUCUGAAUCUGUGCGAAAGAGUGAGAGAGAGGGAGUGUUCUUGAUUUCUGUACAGCCACAAACGGUGAGUAAGAGUGUAAAAAAAAAAGAAGAAAACUCAGAGUCUUGCAACGUGAGGACUGAAGGAGGAAGGAGCUGCCUGUACUUAGCUUCAUAUCAGUUUUGGUUGUAGGAAAAGGGAGGUAAACUGCUGUAAACUCUCUUCUUUAUCUGGUUUAGUGAAUGUCUAAGAUGCAUGUUAAGAUUUAGCCAGAAAAAAAUGAGUUCUUGACCCAUGAAACAUUUUGUUUGGUGAUUAUCUAAACGAUGUAAGAAGACUAGAGGCUCGCUGGAAAUUUUUUUUUUUUCCAGUUCCAUCUGAAAGAAAGGGCCCGAAUGUGUAGCUUUAACCGUACGCAUGGAGUAGUUUUCUGUUGGAAGCUUUAACCACACGUUGUUUCCUUGUCUCACCUGAGUAAUUAAAGCAGAGUGAUAGCAAGAGUGAAAACUGUUAAAAGGUGAGUUGGUAGUUCUGUCUAGCUAGCCGAGGAAGGAAACAAAGAAUUUUUCCAGGUUCCUUGACAGAUUUUAGGGUCCAAAUUCCCAAGUUGAACUUAAUACCUUGCAUAACAAUGUAGCCUCAGCGUGCAUGUAGGAUCUGUGGGAGAAAUGAAGUAGUUAAAGGAGAAGUUUAAAAGAAAAAUUGAUUGCUGCCAGAAAUUUUUCAGCUUGGCCGAGUGGAAGAGUUAAACUUCUAAUUAGUUUCACUUUCGAAUUUAACAGGAAAACUUCCAUGUGGGCUGGCUAAGACUGUUUUGUAACUUGAUAAAUAGAUUUUUCAUGCUGGAUUUAAUGAUGGAAAGUUAGAUUUUUGGAUUGAAGCCGAGGGAAGUUAUUUGCUGGAAAUUUUUCCAGGUUGUCCGAGUGAAGGAAAUGAUGAAGUUUCCAGCUAUCCUUAUGAAUUCUGGCCUUGAACUCUAUGUCAAACUGUAAUACAUAUCAUAUAUUGGCUUGAUCUGAACAUGCAUGAAAGAUUUGAACAUAAAUUGAAGAUAUUAUUUGAGGAAAAUGUGUAUUUGGCUGACUGUUGUGAGAAAACUGAAAAUAUGGCUGAAGGGGGGGAUUAGCAACUAACCAGUGUUGUUUUCCAUUUUUCCUUGGCUGUAAACUUUAGAUCUUUGCUGUAGGUACUCUGUAGCUUAAUAACAAACCCUUGCAUGUUGAACUUAACGAAAGAAAACUGAGAAAUCUGUAUUUCAAGAGCUGGGUAGCUGUCAAAAAUUUUCCAGCAUGGCCGAGAGAAGGGGGUUGAGCAUCUGAUCAGUUUUCCUUCGAUUUUUUUUUAGCUGAGAUUUUCAUACUGGGUGUUUAAGAUUAGCUUGUAGCUUGCUAGUCACCUUUUGCAUGUUGAGUUGAAGUAAAAACUGAAGAAAAUUAUGGACAAAGCACUAUAAGUUAAACUGUUAUAUUGUUGGAAAUUGUAUAUGGUUGCUGGCCGAAUUAGUUGAGGCUUUUGGUGAGAUUAUUUUCUGGAAUUGUGUGUUAUUUGUUUUGGUUUAGGUUGGACAGAUUAUGAGCUAUGUGUUUAGUGUUUCAAGCAAGUAAAAGAUGGAGAUUUGAUGGACAUCUUGAAUUGACAUUGCUGGAAUUUUUCUUGGUUGUCGAAACAAGGAAAAAAGAUCUGAAUUUCUAGACUUAUUUGUGAAUUAAACUGGCCGUGACUUUCUUUUAUGUUUUGGGUUUAAAUUUCUGGUUGAUUUGUGUAAGGAGUGAUUGGUUGAUGCCAAGAGCUAAUGAUUGAUGAUGCUCUUGGCCAUUUGAGUAAUUUUUACAAGAGUCAAAUUUUUGGUGGAAUUGUUUGAGUGGUUUGGCCGAAAUGUACUUGUUGAGACCUAGGGCUAAUGAUUGAUGAAGCCCUAGCGAAAUUGAUGUUUGAAUUGUGAUUUUUCUAUAUUGGCGAAUUGGAAUAUAAUGUGCAAGUGAAUUGGAAUCGUGAGGUCCGUUUUGGUCCUUUGAACUCAAGUACCUUUUAACUAAGCUUUGUUGAAAAAUUUUGUUCUAGUAUCAAGCUAUAGAAAAUUUAGUAUAGUACGAUAAUGCUAAAAUUUGAGUGUCGGGACUUUUAAAAUCUUGUUAACUAGUUAAUUCCUUCCUUUGUUUAGACUAGCCUUAUUACUUUUAGAAAAUAAAUGCACUAACUUCCAAACUCUAAAUCUUUCGUAAAAUUGUUCCUGGCUAGUUGCUUUAGAGGAAAAUUGUCAAAAACACGGGAUUUUAAUAAAUUUAAAUGAAAAGCGUAGAAAACUUGUUCGGCAAGAAAACUUAUUUGAAGUGUAUUAGUUCUAGUUGCACCUCUAGAAAGAAAAGUAUCUUUAAAGAAACCAUACGAAAUAUUUCAUCACAUUUACUAGUUUUAAUUCUAAGAGAAUUGAUGAGUUAUUUCGAGGAAAUAAAAUAGUUAUAUACCAGAUAAUCUUUUAUAUAUAAAUUAAGAACUUGUAUAGUAAAACUUAUAGUUUUAAAACUUAGUCUUUUAGGGUUUGGUGAGGACUUGGACUUCGAUUCCCAGCUUGACUUUUGAGCUUCACUUUUGGUGAGUGUCCGUGCUUGUUCUAUGAUUAACUGGUUAAAGUGCUUUCUUGACUGUUAUGUGAUAAUUGGAAUGUGGUUUUGCUGAUCCAUCGAAGUGGGCAGUGUGUACUUUAUCGCAAUAGCCCUUUCGAGUGGUGAAUUGUUUGAAAUGUUUGCUCGAAUAUCAUGCUUGCACUAAUUAAGUACUGAGUGGGGGAAUGUACCACACCUGAGGGUGGGAGGGCCUCUUAUCCUAACUCAAGUACCAAAACCUUGCAAUUGUUGAUCGGAGCGUGGACUCGUCAACUAAUCCACCAGGCAGGGGAAUGUACCACACCUUAGGGUGGGAGGGCCUCUUAUCCUGACUUGGUAACCACUUGUGUGACGUCAUUGGGUGAAUCCCUUGACUAGGCUAUAAAAGGUAUACUCGAGUAAUACCAAACCCUCUCGUGAGAAGAACGGGCCCGGUGGGAGUAAGUUGGUGGGAGCGUGUUAAGAUAAAAAAAAAAAAAAGAUCUACUUGGACUUUAGAUAGUGAAAGUUGACGGAGAGUCAACUGUUGUUAAUUUUGAUCAAGUUCGUGGGAAAUGGCUCCUGAGAGCCCCUGUAUCCUACCCUAUACUGUUAUACGCUUACCUACUUGUUGUAUUUUAGUUUGGAUUAUUAUUUGCUACUUGUUUUAUAUGAUUGCAUGUUUUGGGGCACCACUGAGCUUUGGCUCACCCCACGUUAUUUGUUUUCCUGAAUAGGUUUUGGCAUUCGAGAGACCUGAACUCUGCCUUUAUCUUUUACGAAUGUUGUUUUGAAUCAGACUAUGUGUUUUUCGUUUUGGAUUGCCACUUGAAGCUGGAAAAGUGCAACCUCUGAGUUUUGUUUGGCUUGUAUGAGUGUAAUUGAAUUUUAUGAUUUCACUUUGUGGUUUGUAAUGUAUAAAUGUAGUUACGUGCUAAACUGGUUGGAGAUGUAUUUAAGAGUGGAUGUUCAGACAUCCGAUGGUAUUGUUAUCUCUGAAGUUAAUGUGUUCUUAGUAUCUUGGUCGUUUUAAGGACUGGCUUGUUCGGGUGACGGUUUUUAUGUUGGUUCAAGUUAUACGACGGAGGGGUUUACCCAGUUUCCUUGCGUGAGUCCUGGCGAGAGCCAGGCAGGCGACCCGCCAACUCUCUGGUUCGCCUUAGGGAAAAGUGGGGCCGUCACAAAAUUGCCAUUAGUCAACAAUUUUGAACUUUGUAUUUUUGGUCCAUAAUGUUUGAAAUUUUAAUCAUUUUAGUCACUUAAGAUUUCAAUAGUGAUAUUAUGGGUUUUAGGAUAAAAUAAGAUGUAAAUUAAAAUGAAAUUGUGUUACAUGGGUACUAGGAGUUUUAAUUAAACCUUUUUUUUUAAUUUUUGGCACAAAUUUCUCAUAUAUUUCUUCCUUUUUGUAUAAUCCAUCCCAAUUUUGGUAAAAUAUAUAUAAUUAUUGUUUUACACUAUUAGUAAGUAAUUGAUAAUUAAUUGAUAAUGAUUAAAAGCACUUGAUAUAGUAUUUAUCUUUACUAGAUUUUAUACUUACAAUUCCUAACUAUAGCAAUUUAAGUCCUAUAUAUGUAUACAAGUCAUGCAAGAACUUGUGUAGUAGACUAGCAAUGUAAUGCUAAUAAAUUUUUAUAUUAAUACUAGAAUUAUCUCCUUUUAUUUUUUAUUUUAUAAAUUAUUCAUAUAUUGUCAUCCGAUUGUAAUGUAUUCAAUAAAAUUUAUACUUUUUUACUUAAAUGAUGUUAUUGUGUUGAUAUAAAGUGUUUUCAUCUAGUUCCAAAAAGAAGUGUUGUCAUGAAAUUUUAUAGGCAUUUGGGAAGACAUUUGUCAUAUAUGUAAUUGAAUUCAUACUUCAUUUUGGAGAAAUUUCCAAUUUUGUGAUGAAUUUUAAAAAAAUUCUACAAAAGAGGUGAUUUUGGCAAGGGAUUUCGUCCGGGGGUCUUCGCAUUCCUGAAAUGCGAGCUUAGUAGAGCUCGCAUUUCAGGAAUGCGAGGUUACAAUAGCGGAAUGCGAGCUCUAAUUUAAUUUUUUUUGCUUUUUUUUUUGGAGCUAGAGAAUUUUUUCCAGAAAAUAGUAAGAGCUAAAUGCGAGCUCCUAAAUGUUUUUUUUUUAAAUUUUGCAAAUAGCUCGCAUUUGAUAAAUUUGACCUCCAAAAAUUGUAUUUAACUUUUUGUAAGGCCCACAGACAACCUCUUUUCUAGGCGACCACACAAUGGAGCAGUUGAUAAGAAAGCACAAGUACUUGUGAGUAGAAGAGAUAAACAAUUUAAAGAUCAUAAACGUAACAAUAAGUAAAUAAAAAGGAAAGGAUUGCAAACCAAUUAACUACCCAACUCCUCUUGAGCUUGUAGAUAAAUUCAAACAAGCUACUUCAAGUUGAUGAAUUACAAUCACUCUUGUGUACAAAGGAAGGUUCACCUCCUCCUGGCCCCGAACUCCACUCGGUCAAGUUAGGACGUUUUACUAUCCCUCAGGACAACCCUCACAGAGCUACACUCAUGAAAGAUUCACUCACAAAUGAAAAGCUUACAAUGAACCUCACACCACUAAGACUACAAAUCUUCUUUGAAGAGUAUUUUCUCACUAAAAUCUCUCUAGAUCUUUUGUAUCUUCAGUGUGCCAAAGUUCUUUGAAAUAUCUGACCAACCACUAUUUAUAUAGGACCAAAAAAGUGCCUCAUUAAUGCUUCCAACGGAUAGAAAGUAGCUGAACAGUCAACUAUCCGUUGGCAGUGUCGGACGUCCGUUAACCCUGUUUUAUGCGUCCGACAGCAGGCAGAGAGUUUAAGACUUUUUCUUCAAUUCUUUCGGACGUCCGAUAGGCUGGUUUUCUGCGUCCGAAGAUACUCAAUGAUUGUCGGACGUCCGAUGCAGUCUUUUUGAGCGUUCGACAGCUUCAGCAUACUUUAUCUUCUUUCAAUUGUACUUGUUCAUGGAAUCAAAUAACUUCAUAACUGAAAAUAUAUCUUGAAAAAAUAUUAGUAUCAUCCAUUUGUUUUGUAAACAUCAAAAAAUAGGGAUCAACAUCAACACUUUUUUGUUAGAUUUCGCAUUUAUAAGUAUGACUUGCAGAAAAUUAAAUUCAAACUUGUUAGAAAAAAAAUUUAAAAUGAAAUUUACGAGCUCCAUAAAAAAUAUAAAAUUAAAUGUAAAUAUUGUUUGUUUUGUAGAAUUUGCCUUUACUAAAAUGCUGUUGGUAGUAAAAUCUUAUUUUAAAAUCUUAUAUUUCGGAGAAAUGUUAGAGAAAUUUUAUUUAAAAAUCUGUAAUUAGCAGAGGAAUAAAUUUUUUUUAUUUCAAAACUUGCACGUGCCUAAAGUCAUCAAAUAUGUGCUCUAAAAAAAAUCAUAUUCACAAUAAUCUUUUUAAUAUAAUUUACUAUACAUGCAUAUUUCUUUUAUAAUAAAAAAAAUUGGUAAUUGUACGGUUGGAAAUACGUUAUUUUAUUAUAAUACAUUUAAAUGGUGGAAAAAGUACACAUGCAUAGUUCUUUCUAUUUCAUAGAUCAAUGUAAAAAUAGAAUGAAAUUGUGAACAUGUAAGGUGUUGACUAUUUUUUAUGAAUAAAAUAUUAACUUUUUUUCCUUUUUUAUCAAAUAAAUUUUUUUGAUCAAAUUCUAAUUUUUCUUUGUUAUUAAUGAAUCGUAUUUAUUUGUUGACACCGAUGAAUAUUAGUUAUAAGAAUCUAAUAGUUAAUAGUCAUUAAUAUAUGUUACAAUUUCAACUGUAAUUUUAGAAAUUUCAUAACGCAGUGUUAUUUAAAAAAAUUAUAUAAGUUAUUUUUAUGAAGUGCAUGUUAUUUGUUUGGUAGUUGAAAAGGAAAAGAAAAAAAAUUAAAUCAAAGAUCUAGUGAUAAAAUCUUGCGUGUUUUACCUUUUACAAUUAUUGGCAGGAUUACUAUUUUGAUUAAAAAUAUAAAGCGAUAAUCAAGACAAAGUUAUUGUCAUGCAAAAAUCCUAAAACCCUAAGUGCUAAAGCCGUAAAACACUAAAUCGUAAAUCUUAGAAACCAAAUCCUUGUAAACCCUAAAACAUUAAAUCAAGGUUGUUGGGUUUAUUAAAAUCCAUUAAAAAAUAUUUUUGCGGCACGAUAGGAUUACUAUUUUAAUUAAAAAUCUAAAGUCCUAAUCAAGGCACACUAUUGUCAAACUAAAAUCCUACAACCAUAAACCCGAAAGUGCUAUUCUCUUAAAACACUAAUUCUUGAUCUCUGAAACCCUAAAAUCCUGAAUCCUAAAAGCCUCAAACCCUGAGUGCUAUCUCUAAUGUAGUCAGUAGCAGAAUCAAAGAUAUGAUAUUUUCUUUUAUCUACAACUCAUUUGGUCUUCUCUUUUGUUACAAAAACAUGUGCCACCGAUUUCUGUACCUCAAAAUAGUUGGAAAAGUUGUGAGAAAGGUAAAGGAAAACGGCUGUGCCACUUGCUGAAGAGACAGACAGAUCCGAGCCUCGGAUCCGAGGGUUGAAUAUAGAUCCGAGCUCGGAUCUUUAGGAUCCGAGGACUCCCCAUGAUGGAUCCGAGGUCGGAUUUUUUGACCUCAGAUACACUCCUCCAGAAGUACAGACGAGGGAUCGGAUCUCUCUUUGCUCUCACGGAUCCGAGCUCGAAUCGAUUCCAUUAAAUUUCCAGUUUUUUCGUUUCUUUCGUUUUUCCUUCAUUUUUGCUCAUAAUUUCUUGUGUACUUUAUCCUCUGGACAAUCCUUACACUUCUUUCAGCUCGUGCAUGAACUUCAUACAUCGAUAUCCUUCACAAUUUCACAAAAUUAAUGCAUUUAUCCACUCAUUAAUCAACUCACAAUUUCACAAAAUUGAACAUUUUGGCCAUUAACUUGAAAUUUUGGAAAAUACUUUUAAAAAAUUUUGACAGAGUUUUCCCUAAAAAAUGGACAAAACUCCUUGUCAACAACCUCAAUUUCAAGAAAAUUAACCUCAUGACAAUAUUUCCAAAUACAAAUCCAACAUUUUUAAGUCAUAGACAACUAAAAUCAUGCAUUUCAAAAUACAAACAUCCAUAAGAUAAGGUAAUCCCUCCCCCACACUUAAAAUUCACAAUGUCCUCAUUGUAGAGGAAAGUAAAAGAAACUGAAACUUCCCUCAAAAUAAGUGGUGAUUCAUUUUGAAGCCAUAAUUUCUCACGAUCAUCCAAAUUCUUUCCACAAUGAAACAAAAGGUACGAAGAACCAUAAGUAGCACAAGAGAAUCCAAUAUAAAAACUACAAAGUUUAAAUGGAGCACAAUAAAAGAAAAAUAAAGAGCAGCUAAGGAUCUUCAUCUUCAUGGCUGCUCGGAACGAGGGUCUACUGCCUCCUCAGUGCCAGGAGGACCCUGUGAUGUACCAAUAUGCCCCUCCUCCUGCUGAGGCGUCGGAGUAGGUGACCGGCGGAUAUGAAAAUGAUCCUCGAUCGUACGAAGAUGGCGAUCAUGUCUAUCGAGUCGCUCUGUCAUCAUCCACUCGGUCUGGUCAAUGCGCUCGAUGACUCGUGUCUCCAUACAGCGGAUGGCAUUGAGGAGCUCUUGCCAUUUCGAUCUUGGCGGAGGUGGUGGUCGUGAAGCGCGAGGAGGAAGAGUCUGCUGUGCCUCCGUCUCUUGAGCUCCUAGUUCCUGCUGAGUGUGAGGUGGGGGCUGAGCAGAAGUCGAAGCUUCUCCAGUGUCUCGAAUAAGGGCAGCUCCAAAAUCUGUAGAGAUACUCAAGGAUUUGAGUAUCGAGGCACUGACCUCGUCGGCAGACCUGGUGACAAUGGCUCGCUCGGUUCCAAGAGGAACCUUGAGCUUCUCAAAAAUGAGGGAUAGCAGUCGAGCGAACCCAAAGCAAGUCUCGCCAGCCCUCAUGCGAGCUGUGGUCCGCAUGUAACUAAUGAUGAUGCUGGGCAAAGGAAUACCAGUCAACUGCUCACCCACACCAUGCAUCAUCUUAUCCAAGAAGUAGAAGUCACUAUUGCGGAGCUCACGUUUUCCACUCCUCUUGGGUACCACAUUGAAGGACCACGUGUUACUCUUACUCUCAAUAAUUCUGAACUCCCUAUUCUGAUUGAUGGACCACAUCCUAACUGCCCGGCUGAUUUGCUGCUUACUCUCAAAUCUCAUAUGGAGACGUAUAUUAUUAUUCUCCUCACUGAAUGUUACAAUACGCUCCAAUCCAUCCUCCUCUUCUAUAUCAUCAUCAUCUAUGCUCCCAAGAUCAGAGAAAAAUGCCAUUCCUCUUGGAACAUAUGCAGAGCUGCCAUUCCACCUAUUGUGUCUGAUAUCUCCGCAUUCUGUGUUGGCAACCCGAUACCCAACAAAGGGUUGUUGGGUAUCGAGGUUUACUCUUAAACCCCCACCUUCAUGCUCAUCAUCCGAGUCACUACCAGACACAUCUUGCGACUCCGACUUUUCGACCUCUUCCGCAUCAACUUCCGGGUCAUCUUCUUCCGGAUCAUCUUCUUCAGAGGCAAGGAGCCUAUCAUGCCCACUAGCAUAUACAUCAUCUUCAGCUGAACUGCGACAACCUAGACCAGGGUUAGACUCGAUCCCAUGUGGAGAAAUAUGGCAUGAUGGCCCUGGAUCUCCAAAACUUGGAAUCGAAUCCAGGCCAUGAAAAUAUUCCUAGGCACCCAUGGACCCUGAUGUGUGCCUUGGUUCUAAUGAAUCCAUAGAUCGAUCAUCAUGCAUAUAGUGACAUGCCGAUGAAGUCUCUGGAACGAUUGAACUAGAACCGAAGUUAAACUUUGUUGGAUCCAUGAAUGCAUGUACAAGCGACAUUAUUGGACCAACAUUACCUAUUGGUCCAGUGAAUACGCUAUUAACUACAGGCAUUUGGACGAUUUCUUUCUUCUCGAUAUAAAUCUCUGCCAUGUAUGAAACUCUUUCGAUCUAAAGAUCGUACAUUACAUCAAGAGUUUCAUCAUCCACCACUGAGGAAACAGUAUAUUUGGAACUCUCCAACGGUUGACGAAGAAACAAUUUCAGCUUGAACAUCCCUUUAUCGACCCCAAUAUAGUGGUAAUUCCUGUCAACCAACUCCCCGUAUCCAAUUCUAUGCCUCAAAGUGAAUGUCCGGUUGGAAGUACGAGGCAAAUAACAAACAAAGUCACCCUCGUAAUGUAUUUCUCCUCCCCAGUAUAGGUUUACCCACAGAGGUCUUUCUACAGACAUGUCUGUGAAAUGAAUCCCUAUUUUGGGGACAAUAAAUUAGAAUUAGUAGUCCAAGGGUCCAAACAAAUGAAAGAGGGUGGACUCUAGGUCGAAAUUAGAACUAUUAAAUAGACUAAUUUCGAUCCAGAUGUUUAUGAAAAAUUUGAAAACAGGUAUGAAAUAUGCUAUAAAUGACGAUAGGAAUAGCCUAAAACUCCGAACGAAAUUUUUAGAAAAUUUGGACAGAAUCUCCCCUAAAAAUAGACUAAAACUCCCUGCCAACCAAUCCAAACAGGGUUUAUCCAAUUAAUAGUCAGUUGCCCUCACAAAGAAAACUCUACAAAAAAUUCGACAGAGUCUCCCCUAUAAAUGGGCUAAAACUCCCUGUCAAACAAUCCAAAUAUCCAUGAAACUCAAAAGCUUCAAUCUAUAAACUACAUAAUGUCAAUAAAAUUUCUAAACUCCAAUUGCAAAACAUACAAUGUCCAAUGUAGAUAGUGUUUCGACAAAAAAUAAUAGCUGCGAAAUAGAUUUUAAAAACAAAAACUGAAAUUAGAGAAUUAUUGGUACAUAACCCUUGCCCCCACAUUCAGUAUUAGAGAAAUUAGAGAAUUUGGGUGGGCACUUGCCACCCAAAUUUGGUACAUAACCCUUGCCCCCACAUUCAGUAUUAGAGACUUUGUCUACUAUGUGCUUAGCAUUUUAGAGAAUUAUUUUGUACAUUAAACUAGUCAGAAAUAAUUAAUUAUUAUCAUUUUAAAUUACAUAAGACAUAUUAAAGUACUAAUUAUUGUAAUUAUUAUCAUUUCAAAUUAUACAGGGCGUAUUAAAGUACUAAUUAUUGUAAAUGGCUUUGAUAACUACAUUAGUGAAAAAUAAGUAUUUGUCAAAUAUAUUUAUAUACACUUGUUAAAGUACGACAAUAGUGUCUAAAUGUAUAUAACAAAAAAUUAAAUGGCAUGCUAAGACUGUUAAAGCAACGGAAAUGCAUCCAAGACAACUUCAAUGCUCGGCAUCAAAUUUUGGAAAUUGCUAACAUAUAUUGUAAUUUCAAUAAAAUUUAUUUUUCCAUUUUAGUUCAAGGCCCUUAUUUUUCUAAAAUCUUCUCUAGGAACACAACUCUAAUGUACGAUUUACCCAUAGCUGCCCUAGAGAAAUUCGUUUCUCAUUUGCAUCUCAUGUUUAAUUUCCUUAAUUAGAACCCAUUUUCUAUUUUAAAUGGAACUUGCACCUUUUUUCUUUUUUUUUGUUUUAUCUUCUUCAACACAAAAAAAUAGACAUUUUUAAAAAAAUUAUGAUGACAGAGAAAUUUCGAAAAUUAUGAUGAAUUUUAAAAGAAUUCUACAAAUGGGGCAUUUUGAACAUGGGAUUCCGUCCAAAGGGUCUUCGCAUUCAGCAAAUGCGAACUCACGGAGUUCGAAUUUUUGAACAACGAAAUCCAAAAAAAAAAAAAUUAAAAAAAACCAGACCUCGCAUUUAUGAAAUGCGAGGAUCCGAGCUCGGAUUAUUUCUGGUAUCCCUCGGAUCCAACAGGGUUCUGAUCCGUCUCAACAGAUGAUCAAACGAGCCCUCAGAUCUGAGUGAACAACUAUGGAUUCGAGGUCGUAUCACCCAAUUUCGCCUUUGAUCCUCAAAUGAUCCGAGGUCGGAUCUGUCUGUGUUGAGUCGGACCCGACCUCGGAUCAUGCUUUUUCUGCACUAAUUGCAGAAACUGCAAAUAAACUGCAACAAAUUGGAAAUAGAAAAAUUGCAAGAUUUCGAAAAAUGUAACGUAUAUCCUCAAAUCCACUACAAAAAUUGCAAAAAUAAGCACAACCUACAUCAAAUUUAAAUCCAAAUUUCACAACAAAUCUGAACUUGCCCUUGGAUUCAAGUAUUCAAGUAUUAAUUAAAUUUAAAAUGCUAUAAGUGAGGCAUUGCAAGUGGAAAAGCCUCACCUUUAUGCUGUUUGGGAGUCGCAAUGGGACGGGAAUGCUGGCAAAUUUUGGGAAGCGGCACUCGCGGAACCAGUCUUUGGAUGCUCCGGUCAGCUCCGGUCUUUGGAUGCUUCGAUGUGCAGAACCCAGCUCUGUUUUCUUUGUUUUGCUGUUCGACAAUUCCGAAUUCUUUGUUUUGCUGUUUGACAGCUAUGUUUCGAUAUUGCGUUCUGCUUUGACAGCUAUGUUUCGAUAUUGCGUUCUGCUUCUUUGACUCACUUUUCUCUUUUUUUUUUUUUUUUUCGAAAUGGGGUCUUGGCACUCCUCAGUACAAGCUCGGUGAGCUCUCACCAAGCUCGCAUUCCGCGAAUGCGAGGUCAAUGAGCUCGCAUUCCCGGAAUGCGAACACCUCAUUUGUAGAACACUCUCCAAGAAACGCCCUCGUUGUAGAAUUCUUUUUUUUUUUCAUCAUAAACUAAGAAUUCACCCCUUCAUUUUGUCUCUAAACUUGAAAUUUUAUAGGCAUUUAGUAAGACAUUUGUCAUAUAUGCAAUUCAAUUCACAUUUCAUUUUGUCUCUAAAGCCCGAAUUAUAACUACUUGAAAUUUAAGGGACCACAUUAAUUGAAACAUCAAACAUUAGGGACUAAAAAUACAAAGUCAAAACUUUUGACUAAAGCCAAUUUGAUCUUGAUUGUUAGUUAUUGUGAUUUUUCAUUAAUUAUCCUAAAUUUGCCUAAAAUAAAAAGUUUUGAGGACCAGAUUUAUUUUGGCUAAAAUAUUAGAGACCAAUUUAAUACAUAGGCCAAAUAUUAAGCACGAAAACUAUAAUUCGCCCUAAUAAUAAUAAUAAUAUUUUUGUUUAUAUGGUUGAGUCUUCUUAACUAGCCAAUACAAACAUGCAAAAGGCUGAAUUGAUGGGCAUUACGAUUUCGCACGACAUUCAUUGCACUAAUUUGGCUUCCUUACGUCCGAUCUCCAGUCCUUUCGUUGGCUAAAGUCCAUGUUCAACAACCUAGAGUGAAACUUUUUGAGUAAAAGGUAGUCAGAGGCUCAGAGCACGUUCUUAGAUACAGAAUAAAAAAUCUAAAAAUUUUUGCAAGGCCAAAAUGCUGCUUUUGCAAUGAUAAUAUGUGAUAUGCAAAACAGGAUGUGCACUUGAUGAGGAAAAUUUUCGAUCCCGUUUGAAUUGUUAUUUACCGUCGCGAUUAUAUAUAUAUGAAAUAAAUUAAUAAUUAACAUAAGAUAAAAGGGUAAUUAAAAAUUGUUUUCAUUAAAAACGUUAGAAUGAUAUCGGUUUAAUCAGUUUUAUAUAAUCCCCGCCAAAAGCCAAAAGGGUAGAAGAAACGUAAAGAAACACAAUUGAGGAAUGGCCACAAACCGGAAUACCGAGCUACUUCCAAAUUGUAUUCACAGUUCGGAAAUGGGCAAUGUGACUGUUAAGACCUCCGCUGUGAAACGCUACCUGUUGCCAUUUCAGCACACUCACUAAAAUUCGACGCAGUCGCCACAUGCAUAUUCCUCCAAUUGUUGCCACAGGUACUUGUUUUCUGGAGAUAAAAGCUUUUUCUAAGCUUUUUUUUUGUCGCAUUAUUAUAAACCACACUUAUUUAUGGGUGUUUUGGGGGAGAUAUCCGGGAAAUUUGAGCAAAAUUUGGACUUGAUACGGAAAUGUUUCCGAGAGGCUUUGACUGGAUUGGAAGCUAGAGAAAAUCAUCUAAAUGGAGUACAAGGAUCUCUUUCUGAAAGUUCUAGAGAACUUGGUCUAAUGCUAGAGGCCAUUGAAGCUCAGGCGAAGGAAUUUGAGGAGAAGGAGAGAGAGUGUCGUUUGAUUUUGGAACAAGGGUGGAGUUUGAUUAGAGAUGAUAUUAGAGUUAGGGAAGUGAAAUUGAGUAAGGUAGAGAAGUUGAUAGGAGGGGCUUUUUGAGAGCAUAUUAGAAGUUCUGUUGAUGAGGGUUUUAGAGAAUUAUGUUUAAAAGAGAGGCAGGUAGCGGAUCGUUGGAGAGAGCUCGAGUUGGUUGAGAAACAGAUUGAGAGUAGAGAAAAUGAGCUUGUUAAGAAAGAGGAAAAGUUCAAGAGUUUAGAGGAGGAGAUUGAGGUGAGGGAAAAGGUCUUGGGUUCAAAACAGGGGAUGCUUGAACCUAGAGAAAGUGAGCUGGAGGCUAGGGAAAAGGUUUUGGAAUUAUAGAUGGUGCUUGACUUGAAACAAAGAGAGCUUGAUUCUGCUAAAAAAGGCAAGGAAAGUUGUUCUAGAAAACCUGAUUCAAUAAAAGGGCAAAGAAAAGAAGGAAAAUGGAGACAAGGACGCAUAUUAGAACGACUCUGAACAACAUGCUAUCAUUGAUCUGGUUGGAUCAGAUUCUGGUGAUUCGGGUCAUUCAGGUUCGGGAUGUGAUCUAAAUGAUUCCCAUUCAGUGUCAGAGUCUGAUUCAGGUUAUUCAGGUUCAGCACAUGAUCUUGGUGAGGCAGGUUUAGGCUUGGCCAAUUCAAAUUCAGAUACGUUCUCAGAUUCUUGUGAUUCUUCAGGUUUUGAAGGCUCAAGUCCUAUUUAUCAUUCAAACAAAUUGUUUAAUAACUUCAGAAGAACAUACACGUUAAGCAGGUUUCAUGUUGGUCAAAUUUGGGCUUGUUCUUAUCACAGUAGUAAUGAUAAGAUAAAAAAAUCAUAUGUUCGCGUUGCAAGGCUCCAGCCUGUGGCACAUUAUCCAGGUGCAGUGUUGUAUAGGAAGAACACCAAAAGUGUCAAGUCACCUGCCAUAACGCAGGGUUGGAAGGAGUGGAUAGAUGCGGGGUUACCAGUUGGUUGUGGUGGAUUUAUAUGUGGUAAACAAGAGGCCCUGUCAUUAUCUCGUUGUAACUUUUUUAAUCAAGUUUGCUACAAAGAUAAUUUUUCUUCUUGCAAUCUUGGUAGUCCUUACUUAAUACAUCCUCAAAAGGGAGAGACUUGGGCCCUCUAUAAGGAUUGGAAUAUUAGUUGCUGGGCUUCUAAUCCUCAAAAUCAUUUAUCUUGCCAGUAUGAGAUAAUUGAGAUUGUCCAGAGAAAUUCUUUUGACACUAGAGUUGCUUCCUUGGAUAAAUUGGAAGGAUAUGCAAGUUUAUAUCACAGAAGAAACCACAAUAAGAAGGAUACUUUUUUGAUACAUGAUGAAGAGCUCUUUAGGAUUUCCCACAAAAUACCUUCCUUUAGGAUGAGCGGCCAUGAGAGCAAAGGUGUACCAGAGUCGAUCUUUUGAACUUGCUCCCAAGUCGCUUCCUGCAGUUUUUCGAUGAAAUUUGGAACAUUCAGGUAUUAAAUUUACUAAGUCCAUUUUCAUUGUGUUUAUGUGAAUUUUCCUUUUUUGCAAUUUUUGGUCACUCCAUUUGUGCUGCUGUGUUGGGAGGCUUUUUUAAUGGGUGAACUCAUUGCUAGCCAUUUUGGCAACAUUGAAGAAUUUUGUUUGAUAUGGCAUGCAGCUGACACCAGUACUAGCCAGUCAAAUGUAGUAUUUACAAGUAAUAGUCUUCAUCAUGACAUAGAACUGUUGGAAAAUUGGCUAUAUUCAUUGUAGAGUGAAUGAGAAAAUUGUUCUCAUAAUGACACUCUUGAAAGAAUCAAAGGAUAAUUAUCUAUUCAUGUACAUAGGAUUCAUGUAUAUUAUUCAUGAUAGGAUACAUGUACUUGAUACAUGAUUUUAUCGUUAUCUUAUUGAGAUACGUGUAUGUACAUGAAUAUGGUACUUUGAUCAACGUAAAGAUAAUUAUCUGGAAUUUAACUCUUGUUGCCAAUUUCGAACAGUCACCCUAGGCUAGCAUCUAUAAAUAUCUCCUUUUAUUUCAAAAGCAAGGGCGCUCUCUCUCUCUCCUUUUCCUUCUUGCAUCUUCAUAUUUUAUAGUGUUCCAUAUUGCUCUAGUUCGAGUUCGUUGUGGUGAAUAAAGUUUGGUGCUGACAUAUUCACCUUUAAUCCGUUGUAUCCUGGGAGACAGACGCCUACUCAACCUCGAGCACUCUACCUGGAGGGGGCGAAUCUGUUUUAAGGAAAUUGUGCUCACAAGCCUCGGAUUGUUACUAUUGUUAUUUUUCUAUCUUUACCUUCUUUCUAGGUUGUAUUUAUUCUUCUCUUUUGUAUCAGCCUACUUUAUUAUUUCACUAACAAUCUUAAAACAGAUCCGUUCUCAAUGGCUGACAAUACAGGAAGAGAAACCAACACAUCUACUGUUGAUGCCUCUGCCUCUGGCACAAUUGUUAAACAACCUGAAGGGAAGAUUACUCCUAUGGUUUCUACCAACCAUAGUGAGAAACCUGAGAAGUUCCAUGGCCUAAACUUCAAGACAUGGCAACAAAAGAUGUUGUUCUAUUUGACAACAUUGAAUCUCUCGAGAUUCUUAAGUGAGGAUGCUCCAAAGCUGUCUGAAGGCUUAACUGAUGCACAAGCUGUCAGUGCUAUUGAUGCUUGGAAGCACUCCGAUUUCCUUUGUCGAAAUUAUGUCAUGAACUGUUUGCAUGACUCGCUGUAUAACGUGUAUCAAAUACACAAGACGGCGAAGGCACUGUGGGAAUCCUUAGAUCGGAAAUAUAAAACCGAAGAUGCCGGAGCAAAGAAAUUUGUCGUUGGAAAAUUUCUAGACUAUAAAAUGGUGGAUUCCAAAACUGUUAUCAAUCAAGUGCAAGAAAUUCAGAUUAUCUUGCAUGAGAUUCUUGCUGAAGGCAUGCUUUUGAGUGAAACCUUUCAAGUGGCUGCUGUUAUUGAGAAGCUACCUCCUGGGUGGAAGGAUUUCAAGAACUAUCUCAAGCACAAGCGCCAAAGAAAUGGCAUGAAAAGUUCGACAAUGCAAUGAUAACUAAUGGAUACAGAAUAAAUGAGUGUGACAAAUGUGUCUACACUAAAGAAACAGACAAUGGCUAUGUCAUCUUAUGUCUUUAUGUAGAUGACAUACUUAUUGUUGGUAGUAAUGACAAAAUGGUCAAAUCUACCAAGGACAUGUUGAAUUCAAAAUUUGACAUGAAAGAUAUGGGGCUUGCUGAUGUAAUUUUAGGAGUUAAAAUUACAAGAAUAUCAGACGGGUUGGUCUUGAGCCAAACUCAUUAUGUGGACAAGAUUCUGGAAAAAUUCAAUAAGAAUGAUUCUGGAAUUGCAAGAACUCCAUUAGACAAUAGUUUCCAUCUAUCUAAGAAUAGAGGAGAGAGUAUUUCUCAAGUAGAAUACUCAAGAAUCAUUGGAAGUCUAAUGUAUUUAAUGAGUUGUACUAGACCUGACAUUGCAUAUGCUGUGAGCAAAUUGAGCAGGUUUACAAGCAACCCGAGUGCUGAUCAUUGGAAAGCAAUUUUAAGGGUGCUUAAAUACCUACGGUACACUCGGAACUAUGGACUGCAUUACACUAGAUACCCUGCUGUUUUAGAAGGGUAUGCUGAUGCAAAUUGGAUAUCUGAUAUAAAAGAUUCAAAAUCCACAAGUGGAUAUGUGUUCACACUUGCCAGUGGGGCAGUAUCUUGGAAGUCUUCUAAACAAACUAUUGUAGCUAGAUCUACAAUGGAAUCUGAGUUCAUUGCCUUGGACAAAUGUGGAGAAGAAGCUGAAUGGCUCCACCAUUUCCUUGAAGACAUUCCAAAAUGGGAAAAACCUGUGCCACCAAUAUGUAUUCACUGUGAUAGUCAAUCAGCAAUUGGAAGAGCACAGAAUAACAUAUAUAAUGGUAAGUCUAGACAUAUACGUCGUAGGCAUAAUACCAUUAGACAACUACUCUCAACAGGAGUUAUCUCUAUUGAUUAUGUGAAAUCAAAGGAUAACAUAGCGGAUCCGCUAACCAAAGGAUUGAAUCGAGAGUUGGUUGCAAAAAUGGCAAAGGGAAUGGGACUAAAGCCCAUGGAAGGCUAAGUGUUAUAAAGGAAACCCAACCUAGCUGACUGGAGAUCCCAAGAUCUAGGUUCAAAGGGACAACCUAAUUAUAAGGACUUAGCAUAGUCAUUGUGGGGGGAUACCCCUAGACCCAUUCCAUAAUGAAACAAUGACGCAAAGGAGAAUUAAGGAUAGCACAAUGGUGUGCUUUAAUGAUUCUUAAGUGAAGUAAUUAAUUACUGAAGACUUAAGUAAAUCACCUAUGUGAGAGUGAAGUGGGGCCGCUUCGAAAGAGAAUUGUUUAGGGCUCAAUUCUUAAAAAAAAAAAAACUCUUGCUGAACCAGGUUGAUGUUCAUGGCCAAAACGAACAUAACUAUGAGAACUGAACAAAUGGAGCAUGAUUCCUGUGUGAAAUAUAUGGUUCAUUUACACUAAAAAGCGGGACAGUUCAAAGACAUCAUGUCUACUGGAUUGCUAGUAAAGUAAGUGUAUUUCACAAGAGAAGGUUCAAUGGGUAACACCAACCUAUCUUAUGCAGGUUUCAGUCGUGGAACACUACUGUCGAGUCAAAUCAAAACAAUUUUUCAUUCAUGUGGGGGAUUGUUGGAAAAUUGGCUAUAUUCAUUGUAGAGUGAAUGAGAAAAUUGUUCUCAUAAUAACACUCUUGAAAGAAUCAAAGGAUAAUUAUCUAUUCAUGUACAUAGGAUUCAUGUAUAUUAUUCAUGAUAGGAUACAUGUACUUGAUACAUGAUUUUAUCGUUAUCUUAUUGAGAUACGUGUAUGUACAUGAAUAUGGUACUUUGAUCAGCGUAAAGAUAAUUAUCUGGAAUUUAACUCUUGUUGCCAAUUUCGAACAGUCACCCUAGGCUAGCAUCUAUAAAUAUCUCCUUUUAUUUCAAAAGCAAGGGCGCUCUCUCUCUCUCCUUUUCCUUCUUGCAUCUUCAUAUUUUAUAGUGUUCCAUAUUGCUCUAGUUCGAGUUCGUUGUGGUGAAUAAAGUUUGGUGCUGACAUAUUCACCUUUAAUCCGUUGUAUCCUGGGAGACAGACGCCUACUCAACCUCGAGCACUCUACCUGGAGGGGGCGAAUCUGUUUUAAGGAAAUUGUGCUCACAAGCCUCGGAUUGUUACUAUUGUUAUUUUUCUAUCUUUACCUUCUUUCUAGGUUGUAUUUAUUCUUCUCUUUUGUAUCAGCCUACUUUAUUAUUUCACUAACAAGAACUUCUUAAACUUCAAUUUAAUGACUAUCAUCUACCAUGCACUAAGAAUUAUUAAAUUUUACUUGAAUGGGUAUAGAACUGUUGUGUGAUGUUCCUAAAUGGGCAUUGCAAAUUCUGGAUACUCUUUGUACUUCUUUCUGUCCUUCUAAUAGAUUCCCUCACAGAUUUUGGUAUAGAAUGAUUUUUUUCCCAGCCCCAGCGGACUGGUGGUUGAGAGAAACUCUUGCAGUAUCGCAACACUGCUGGUUGUAAUUUCCAUACAAUUUCCCACCAGAAAAAUAGAAGUAUGGCACAAAAAAAUGAUUUUCCAUUGUCUUAAACAGCCGAAGUAAACCUCAGUGGAGGAUUUUUGUUCCAGUCUUCACCUAUCAGUUUAGUGUUUAGUUAGCUCUCUCUCUCUCUCUCUCUCUCUCUCUCACGCACACAAAGACUCACAAUCACACAAUCAUUGAAGCCACUCUAAAUUUGUUUUCUGGAAAUUCUUGUUGAGGAUUAUAUUAGAGGAUCAUUGGAUGUUUUGUUGAAUUGCAUGAUGUAGGUUUGCUGCUGGAUGAAUUAUAAACUAUGUGAACUUCCAGCUCUAUUGCAGUUACUCUUAAGUUUCUUUUUUUUUUAAUUAUUAUUUUAACAAUUCAGUGCAUUAUUUUCGUAAUUUUCUGCUCUUUUAGGUUUUUCUAAAGUGUCCCACCUUUGCAAACAAAAUCAUUAUCAAGCCUGUGGUCUGAUAACAUGAAGUAUGGCUUUUUUGGUUGGUUCUCAGCUUUUUGUGUUUUAUUCUUAGCUUUAAUGUGUGUUUAUGAUGUUAAAUGAUAGCUGUUACUAUGUGCUUUCCUACCAAAGGGAGAGAGGUGGCAGUUGAGAUAAACAUUUUUUGUCCUUUUUUGAACUUUCAAUUUUGUUCUUAAAAAAUUAAUUUUCACCCUAAUCACCUAAUCACAUUUGCUAAUAUAGUCUCUCAUAACUCACUUAAAUAUUGUAACUUCCAAAUUAAUUAUAAAUAUAUUAAAGAAAAAAAUUACUAAUAAAUUGUAAUUUUUUCAUGAAGAAUUUAUAUAAAAUUUAAUUUUGUAAAAAUAAAAUUAAUAUAUUCAUAAAAAUUAAUAAUUAUUUUUGAACUGUAUAGAUAUUGGGUGUACCCUUAACACUGGUAUAUACCAGUCCUGUUUGAUCUUUACUAUGUAGAAAAGACCUAAAUUUCUGGAUAGAGUUCUGGUGUUAAAAGGUACUACUGUAUCCAAACAAUUCCAUAUGCAUCCGAUAGUACCCAUCCGCACUCUCAAGUGAUUUUUUCGGAUUUGCACAACAUUGUCCUGUUUCUGUGCCAUAUCAGUGGAGAAAAAAAUUCUUAAGGCGGGAAAAUUACUAAAGGACUGAAGCAAUACCAAAAAUAAAAAUGAAAAGACUAAUUAAGCUGGACAGAGAUUUCAAGCAUGAAACUGUUUAAAAAAAAUAAAAAAGUUGAAAGCCACCUGUUGAUGUAGCCCAAACUACAGGAUUAAUCAGUUCGAAUCUUAUGCUCUCUGCUGGUAUUAAUUGAAACAUUAUUUGUUUUAAGUAAAUAUUGACAUACAUAAUGAUUUAGAGAGGCAUUUGAACGGUCAAAAUUUGUUGAAUUAUUGUACUAGUGGAAAUAGUUUACAGUUUAAAUUAUAAAAGGAAAGUUCCCGUUAUGAUGGAUAAAUGAACCAGUAAGGUCCUAUUUGAUAAUCAAAUUCAAUACUUAAACUUAAUGGAUUCAAAACUUAACAUGUUCAAAUGCGUUAAAUAACAAAAAAUGGAACAUCUGAAUUAAUUAAUUAAUUAAGUAAAAAUGAAUUUUCUAGGUAAAAUUUGCUCCAAAAAAUAAGUGAUAAAACUUGCUCUCAAAACUGAAUUUACUUAUCACUUGAUCUGAUAUAUACUCAAAAUUUAGCACUUAAUAAUUUAAUAACUUAAUAGAUUCAAAUCUCAUACUUCAGAUUUUAAUUUUCACAUUUCAAUUUUAUCAAACGCACACUUUAAUUUGUAAAAUAAUAACUAUUGAUAAUGGAUGCUUUUAUGAUCAUCCAUGAUACUUACAAAUUAUAUAACAAUAUUAACUUGCAAAUUAAUAUUGAAAUUCUUAUUAUUGAUAGAGAUCUUCAACCAACUAAUCAAGUACAAGACAAAGGCACUCUUAAUUUUUUUUUCCGUGUGUUAUUCUUUUAUGCUUUUUUGGUUAUAAAAUGAGUAUUAGUUUGUUAUAUAAUUCUCAAGUAUAAAAGAAUUUGCAUAAUGAAAUACUUGCAAGUUAUUCCCACGUUAUAACACAAUUUCUUCUUUUCUUUUUCAAAAUUUCGAUCAUCAAAAGAAGGAUUUUGAUUUUUUUUUUUUUGGUGGUGUGUCUGCACAAGUCCGAUAGAUUUGUCUGUGCACAAGUAUGUAGUGUAUUUUUCACAAGUAUUUGUCUGUUUUUGACAACACUCUUCUUAUGUUACAAAAUAAAACAAGUGUAGAGAAAAGCAUAAUAUAUAUCGAUCGCUAUCACGCUAUUAGAUAUUUUACAAACAUAUAAUGAUAGGGUCAGAGCUCUCAUAACGAGUCAAUUAUCUGAUUACGGCGUCAUAAGUCCGAUUAAUCUAGAAUUAGCGUGUAGAUCCCUGCCACAUGUCUGGAUUAAUUGCACGGAAGCAAAUUUCGAAAACUCACCUAUACUUUUCUUGCAAAUUAAUGAAAAGUUGCACCUUUCGUACCAAUUUUGAUUCUUCCAAUAACCAUUUUUCCAAAUAUUUCUCAAGCAAUUUUGCUUGGGUUGCUGGACAGAAUUCGGUGCCGAAUUGCUACAAUUUGGUGGUUGCUCAGUGGACAGCCCAGCCCUAAUCUUCCUCAUGCAGUUUACGUGGCACCAGGUUCCCAUUUGCAUUUGAUGUGGCAGACUGCUUAUUAAUUAGUACUAGAAUUAGUAAUUUGAUGAACAAUUAAAAUCCAUGAACAAUUAAUUACCCUUCUUACAAAUAAGUGAAAAGCUUACCAUUUGCGUGCUGACUACUGAAUUUGCCGUCCACAUUUCUUGAAGGUGAUGCUACUAAUGUAAUCAGAGUAUUCAAUAUUUGUGACUUUCUUCAGUCCAUUCUUCUGGCUGAUUUGCCCAUUAUUCAUUAACAGAAAAAAGAAUGGAAAAAAAAAGAUAUAUAAAAUUUUUUGGAGUAAAAUUGCUUCUAGCUUGAAACAAUAACUAUAUAUAUGUAAAAAAAAAAUGCAACUAUUCUAAAACAAUUACAUGACUCAUCCUAUAAGCAAACCAGAAUCUUGCUUUGAUUAGCACUCUCAAAAUUCAAUUCCUUACCCUCCAGAUCAAAAGCAGAAACACGAGAACUUUAAUUGUUUUAUGGCACAAGUAGUUUGAUAAAUUUAGAGACUGCUGUACGAGGAUCUUUGCAAACAAUAAUAUUGCCCUAUAUAUAUAGAACUGAGAAUGGAAUCAUAUUUUAGGAAUAAAGAGGUAAAUUAGUCCACAUGUACAGUACAAAAACCAAACACACAACUGUCUAAUAACAUUUAUUGCAUCAAAUGCAGUGUUUCAAAGUCGAACACAAUUUUUUUUUUCUUUUUGUGGAACUUUUUGUUGAAUAAUAAACAGUGGAGCUCAUAACCCUCCCAAUUCCCUAAAAUUUAUACAGAGUUCGAAACAAAAAGGAACACAAAAACACAGGCAAAAUUUUUGCUUCUUCAACUGGUUUCUUCUUCCAUAGCAACAGUAAAAUUUUGAACCAUCAUGUUUCUUCAACUGCUUUUUUCUUCCACAGCAACAGCAAACCUUUUUUUUUCUCUUUUUUUUUGUUUUUUGUUUUAAAAUAGAGAAAGACACACAUAUGAGCAAUUAUAAUGGGAACCACCAAGGAACCAUAGCAAACCCUGCUGAUACUAGAAAAACCAAAGACAAUAGCAACCCUGUUGACAUGAAAAAAAGAAAGAAAGAGCAACAAUUAGUUGUUUAUUCAUAAAUUUCGCACGUCAAUAAGUCAAGUAGAUUAAUCAAUUUGCCUGAGGCAAUGUCUUUAAAAUAAUAAUAAUAAUAAAUAAUACAGCCAAUGUUUUAUUUUGUACAGAAGCAGUCAAGACAACACAUUGAGCGCCAAGAUUUAGCCUCCCUCCAAUUUUGUCCACUAUACCCCAAAUUUAAGGUGGUGUCACAAAAGUUACACCAUCCAUUUUUGUAAAAUUAUACAAUUUGAUAAAAAAAAAAACAAGCAUUACCUACUUUUUAUUCAAGCACAUAGUCAAAAGAAUUUUCACUACUUCAACAGGCACUACAUCAAGCAGUAUGAAUUUGUAAGGUGCAAGUUGGAUGAUCUAAAAUGCUGCAUGUCAUUAUUCUACUGGAUAAGAAUCAGCAAAACUAAAAAGAUAGUUCAAGGGAAAAAAAAAUACUACAGUUCCUUUUGGAUACUGUACCUAUGAAUCUACUCCAAUUACAUCUAUUGAAAUCAUUUAAAGGUUGAUGACUCUUGUUCCACAUACACCAGUAAAUUUAAUCUCAUCAAUACAAUAUUCAAAAAGAAUCAUAAAAUAUCUCAAGUUUUAAGGAUCGUAUGUGAUGUGACCAUUUAUGCAAUUCACACUUAAACCAAUAGCACGUUCAGACCCAAUUUUUUAAGUGAUUCAAACUACCAGUGCGGUUUUGGUAAAUUUCAAAUAUUUCAUCAAAAUUUUCAAGCCAAACGAAGCCCAAUUUUUUCGUAUACCAUGGAUUUCAGAUAUAGUACCAUCUAUACCCAAUUUUUUGUCCCUUACUCCAACCAAUAUGACACUUAGUAGCACAAAUAUUAGUUAUUCAAAGUGUGCGAUCUAUCAUCCAUUGACAAAUGACAAAAUUAAAAGAGUGGAGUUUACCUCUCAACAUUUGACAUGGAAUCUGCCCUAAAGAUUUCUGGCUAGUCAAUAGUGAUCUUCAGACCCGCAUUUCCCCAGUCCUUAUGCUCUUCCCCAAUUUCGUGUACCAACUCAUUAAGAAUGUAGUUACAGUCCAUCACUUCAAUCUCCAUAAGAGGUGCAUUACGCUGUAAACAGGAAGGGACCGUUUCCAAUUCCCAAACGCCAAUCAACCUUAACUUUUGAAGACACGGCAAAGCAUCACCACCAUCUGUCACGUCUUCCCAUUCGACAACAUCCAAGUUUUCCAAACUCAAGCACCUGAGUUCACGGAACCCUCCUGGUGUCAGCUCCCAUCUUUCUCCGACAAAUGACCCGUCGAGUAAUGUAAGGACCUCAAGGUCGGGUAGUUCCUCGAUCGCUGAAAUUUUACUCCAGGGUAGAUGCAAGUGUCCAAGGGCCAACUCUUUCAAGUGUAGAGGGAAAGAAAACUCAACAGGAUUCAGUUGCAAUGACUUUGCCGACACUUCGAGUGUUUCUAUUUGUUGAAAUGUCUUGAAUUAGAUCUUCGACCUCCGCUGAGCUGUUCGGGGGUCUCACUGUAUUUGGUUGUAUAUUUAUACCUUAUAUCCAUUCUAUACAAAAAUAUCUGAUACAUUCCGAACCCUAUUAAAAAUCUGAUUUUUCUCAAAUUUGUUCUUGCUUGUUCUUGUUUGUUCUUCCGUUCUGCUGCAUCUGUUUUAACAAACUGGUAUCAGAGCUCUAGGUUCGUCCUAGGGCUCAAAUCAAGCAACAACAUGUCUGCUUUGAACAUUAAGAUCGACAAGUUCACCGGGAGAAAUAGUUUCAAUCUAUGGCAGAUUAAGAUACGGUCUCUGUUAAAGCAACAGGGCCUGUAGAGUCCGCUGACGAAGAAGAAAUCGGAUUCCGUUGAUGAAGAGUCGAUGAGUCUGGAGGAAAAGGCUCACUCGACAAUCAAGUUGUGCCUGGCAGAUGAUGUCAUCACUGAGGUCAUCGGUGAAGAAACUGCUGCGGGUUUGUGGGUUAAACUUGAGAGACUCUAUAUGACGAAGUUUUUAACUAACAAGUUGCUCCUAAAGCAACGUCUGUUCGAUCUGCGUAUGCAGGAAGGUACUCCUCUUCGAAAACAUUUAGAUCAAUUACAUACGAUUUUUUUUGAGUUGCGUAAUAUUGAUGUUAAAAUUGAGGAUGAGGAUGCCGCGUUGAUUCUGUUAGUGUCUCCACCGUUAUCGUAUGAGAAUUUUGUUCAGUCUUUUAUUGGCGGUAAAGAUACAGUGACUUUAGAAGAAGUAAGAUCAGCACUACAUAGUAAAGAGUUGCACCAUAAGGCGGCUGGUAGUGUUACAGAUAAUCAGGCUGCUGGGCUAGCUGUCAGCAGUGGUAAAGGAAAAUUGGGGAAAAAGAAGUCCGGAAACAAGAAGCAGUUCUCUAAAGGUCUCAAGCCGGAUGAUGUCUGUAACUACUGCAAGGAAAAGGGUCAUUGGAAAUCUGAUUGUCCCAAGACGAAGAAGCAGCAGGAAAAGCAACACGCUUCAGCUUCAGUUGCAGAAAAAAAAGCGAAAAAUUCAGAAGAAGACCUAGCCCUAAUUGCAAACGGACCAACACAUCACACUGAUGUGUGGGUUCUUGAUUCUGGGGUGUCCUAUCACAUAUGUCCAAACAGGGAAUGGUUUACAACAUAUGAGCAGAUAGAUGGCGGAAAUGUCGUGAUGGCUAAUAGCAUUGUCUGCAAGGCUGUUGGGAUCAGUUCGAUUAAGAUCAGGACACAUGCUGGGAAAAUUGCCAUACUGAACGAAGUCAGGCACAUUCUAAAAAUGACGAAGAAUCUGAUAUCACUUAGUACUCUUGACAGUAAGGGUUUCAGGUUCAGCUGAGGAAGUGGAGAGUUUUGCAUCAGUAAAGGUUCAUUAGUCAUUCUCAAAGGAAUUAAGCAUGGCACCCUGUACAUCUUACAGGGUUCUACAUUAACAGGUUCUGCCGCUACUGCUGUUACAUCUUCUGAAGAUCGCAGGUCUGAUAUGAUCAAACUGUGGCACAUUAGGCUUGGUGAUAUGAGCGAAAUGGAGAUGCAGAUUCUGUCUAAACGUGAUCUUCUAGAAGGCCACAAGAUCACUAAUCUUGGAUUGUGUGAAUAUUGUACUUUCGAUAAACUACAUCGCAGAAAGUUUGGGAAGGUAAUUCACAGGACAAAAGUCACACUUGAUUACAUCCAUUCUGACUGUUGGGGUCCUUCACGAGUUGAGUCUUUGAGAGGCUGUCGAUAUUUUUUAUCCAUGAUUGAUGAUUAUCAAGGAUGACUUGGGUAAUCGUUAUGAAGGAAAAAGGUGAAGAUUUCAAGAACUUCAAGCAGUGGAAGGCCUUAGUGGAGAAUCAAACUAGAAAAAAUAUCAAAAGGCUGAGAACUGAUAAUGGUCUGGAAUUCUGUUCAAAGGAGUUUGAUGAGUUCUGCAAAGAUGAAGGAAUUACUCGGCAUCACACAGUUCGACACACAUCACAACAAAACGGUGUAGCAGAACGCAUGAAUCAGACACUACUAGAGAGAGUACGGUGUAUGCUCUUCAAUGCUGAGUUGCCAAGGAGGUUCUGGGCGGAAGCAGUGAGCACAGCCUGUUUUUUGAUCAAUCAUGUACCUCAUACAGGUAUAGACUACAAGAUACCUUAUGAAGUGUGGUCUGGUAAGUCCCCUACUUACUCAAAUUUGAAAACUUUUGGUUGUACUAUGUAUUAUCAUGUCAGUGAGGCAAACUAGAACAAAGAGCUAAAAAAAGAGUGUUUCUGGGAUAUGAAAACGGGGAUAAAGAGUAUAGAAUCUGAUCACCCUCAGAAAAGAAAGUUAUACUUAGCAGAAGUGUAAUUUCUGAUGAAAACUCUAUACUUAACCCUCCUGUGAAGACUGUUGUUGAAGAAAGUGCAGGUGUUGAUAAACAGGUGGAGCUAAAAAUCAUUCAAAAUGAUUUUGAAUCACAGCAGCAAUUUGGUAAUCAUCAACCGCUAUCCUUUGAAACUGAACCUCCUGCAGGAGUAGAGUCUCCAGAAUUUGCAUCAGCAGAAAGGGUGGCACCUAUAUCCCAUACCGCGUCAGAAACUCAGCAGCACGGUAUUGCUUAUGAUCGUGCGAGGAGAGUAGGAGUACGAGCUCCCAGCAGGUAUCGAAAUUUUAUAGGUUAUGCAUUUCAGGUUGCUGAGGAGGUGUAUUCUGCUGAGCCCUCUACCUAUAGAGAAGCUAUUUCAGACAGUAAGUCAGUUCAAUGGCUUGCUGCAAUGGGUUAUAAAAUGGAGUUGUUACACAAGAACAGCACUUGGAAAUUGGUCAAAUGGCCAGCAGAGAGAAAGGUUGCGACUUGCAAAUGGGUCUUUAAAAGGAAGGAAGAAAUUUCUCCAACUGAGAGCAUCAAGUAUAAAGCACAUGUUGUUGCAAAAGGGUUCACUCAAAGAAAAGGAAUAGACUACAAUGAGAUUUUCUCACCAGUGGUCAGACACAUUUCUAUCAGGGUGCUACUAGUAAUGGUUGCACAUCAGGACUUAGAACUAGAGCAAUUAGACGUGAAGACAGCUUUCCUACAUGGAGAGUUAGAUGAAGAGAUUUGUAUGAUUCAGCCAGAUGGAUUCCAUGUUCCUGGAAAAGAAGAUUAUGUGUGCAAGUUGAAGAAAUCCUUGUAUGGAUUAAAGCAAUCCCCAAAGCAGUGGUACAAAAGAUUUGACAACUACAUGAUUAAGUUCGGCUACAACAGAAGUCAGUAUGAUUGUUGUGUAUAUCACAGCAAACUUGAAGAUGGUUCGAUGAUCUAUUUGAUUCUGUAUGUAGAUGAUAUGCUCACAGCUGCGAGGAAUAAAACAGAUAUACAGAAGUUGAAAAGUCUUCUCAGUGCAGAAUUUGAGAUGAAAGACUUGGGUGCAGUACAAAAAAUUCUGGGAAUGGAGAUUUUCAGGGAUGGAAGCCAGAAGAAGUUUUUCUUAUCACAGAAGAGCUAUAUUGAGAAGGUACUAUCCAGAUUUGGCAUGUCUAUGACAAAGCCCUUGAAUACUCUGAGUGCAGCGAAUGCUCAACUAUCAGUUACACGCGCACCACAGUCAGAAGCCGAGAUAGAGUAAAUGACUAAGGUUCCCUAUUCUAGUGUAGUGGGUAGUUUGAUAUAUGCCAUGGUCUGCACUAGACUAGAUCUGGCACAUGCAGUCAAUGUUGUUAGCAGAUUUAUGACUAAUCCUAAGAAGGAGCACUGGCUGGCCGUGAAGUGAAUUUUUUGGUACGUGAGGGGUACAUCUGAUGUUGGUCUCAUCUAUGGAGGUGAUACAGAGUGUUUGGUUACAGGCUAUUCAGAUUCUGAUUAUGCUGGAGAUGUUGAUAGUAGGAGGUCGAUGACUGGUUAUGUUUUCACUCUUGGGCAUUCUGUAGUUAGUUCGAAAGUAACUCUACAACCUAUAGUGACUCUAUCCACUACUGAGGUAGAGUAUAUGGCACUUACGGAGGCUGCUAAAAAGGGAAUUUGGUUAAAGGGGUUGGUUGGAGAUCUUGGCCUACAUCAGGAUCAGGCUAAUAUAUAUUGUGAUACUCUCAGUGCAAUAUGUCUAGCUAAUGAUCAAGUUCAUCAUGAGAGGACUAAAUACAUUGAUGUCCGAUAUUACUUCUUGAGAUCUGAGACAAGCAUCAAGGUGAAGAAAAUUGGCACUGCUGACAAUCCUACUGAUAUGUUCACCAAGCCCGUUCCUCAUAGUAAGUUCAAACAUUGUUUCGACUUGCUAAAUGUCCUAAGUUUCUGAUAGCCCUUAUGGGCAUUCUGAUGGUACUUAGAGACAAUUCUGAUGGUAAAAGAAGACUCUGAGUACGUCUGGCACUUCAUCAGUGCGUCAGUUACAUCUGUUUCCGAGAAGAUUCAAGUCAAGGCGGAAAUUUGUUAAAAUGCCUUGAAUCAGGUCUUCGACCUCCGCUGAGCUGUUCUGAAGUCUCGCUUAGUAAAGGUCCGUUUUAGUUUGGGUCUCGAUUUUUGGGCCUAAUGGUCCAGUCCAUUUUGAUUAUUUGGUUGUAUAUAUAUACCUUAUAUCCAUUCUGUACAAAAAUAUCUAAUACAUUCCGAAUUCUAAUAAAAUCUGAUUUCUCCCAAAUUUGUUUUUACUUGUUCUUGUUUGUUCUUCCGUUCCGCUACAUUUAUUUUAACAAUAUUCACCAUACCAGGAGAUAUGCUAGCCACAAUAUUGUAUAUUCAGGUCAGAGGCAAGUUUCAACAUUCAAAUUGCUAAGACAUAUAUGAAACUAUUAUUCACUAAUGCAAUGAAACAGGAGCUUGCCUGUAUAAAAGUAGUCCAUCUGUCAUGGAGGAAAAAAGAAAUCUGAGCAAAUAUAGAAGAAACUAUAGAAGCAAAAGCCUUGAACAAACUCUAAACGUGCAAGUGAUUAUCAGAAGAAACAGGAGAAUCAAGACCUUGAUAUAAGAGUGAGGUUGAACAGGGUGAGCCAUGGGACCAGCAUCCUAGAUGAUUAUGACAAAGAAUAAUUAGUCACAACAAAGAAUAAUUAGUCACAACAAGCUGAACCAUGAUCUAUUUGGAAUAACAUGAUUUUUUCCUAUCCAAUUGAUGGUUCAUGAUGAACCGAGCCCAAGUUUUAGAUAAUUAAUAUGUGCUACUAGAGUCAUAGGCAACAAAGACAGCUUUAUAGACUUGAGGAUAUUGAUAAAUUCUAAGCUUCAAAACAUCGGCUAUUCUCUUCACAGUACUGCUGCCCACAUCAGAUGAAAAUUCCUGUCCGUUGGCAUCCAUGUUCAGGAGUUAAGCCAAAAUUGAAUGUUUAUAAUAACCAGAGUCUCUACAAAAAAAAUGUAUACUGGACCACGGAAGACUGUGAGCCCUUCUUUCAAACUAAGCUAGGCAAAAACUGAAGUAAGCUCCUUACAAACGAAAAAAACUAAAAAAAUAACGACUAGAUUCAUAACAAUUUAUAAAAAAAAUGUAAAAGAUUUAGUUCUCCUUUGCCCAACGUUGAUGGGCAACAAGAUCCCCUAUACUUUUAAAUUUGUUAUCAGAUAUAUCGCAACUGAACUUCAAGCGACCAUGAAUAGAAUUAUUGUGCUUUAUCAGUGCAUCACGACUCGAAAAUGAGCAUUCACAGUGGGAAUGGUAACACCACCACUGAACUUCGGGUGGCGGAGCUCGGGGUUCUUGUUCUUUUUUUGGCAUAUUUAAACCUAAAAAAGAAACAUAUGAGAAUGACAAAUUACAAAUUAAAAAAAUAAAAUCAAAAUAACAGCAAAAGAAAAGGAAAAACAAUCCGAAGCUGCAUGUUUUGUCAUCACAACUAUCAUCAAAAAAAAAAAAAGCUGAGUUCUAAUCAGCGAUAGAACUUUUUUUUCCGAGUUUUAAGUUGAAAUAUUUGUUCAAACUGAUCAUCGCACAUAUCUUCAUCGUCAUCACAAAACCAAAAGUUUUUUGAAACAUACAUAACAACUCGAAGCUAACUAAAUUCAAAAAGUUUCUGAAAGCCAAAAGCCAAAAGUUUCUGAAAAAUUUUUCUUCAACAAAACAACUGCAGCUAAAUUCAACACUUCGAAGCUAGCUUUUCUAAUUUUAGAAACUUUUUCGUAAUCUUUUGUUCUUCAACCAAGAAAGCACGGAUAUACUUCAUCUGCAUUAGCGAAAAGCGAAAAAUCUACAACAAUACAAAAUAAAAAUUCAGAAAUAACUAAUUAAAAGGAACCGAUAAUCACCAUAGCAUAGGUACUUCUCCACUUUUUCUGUACUUGCUGGUUCUGUAUUUCCUUCGUCUGGAUGCUUCUUAGGAGAAAAAUAUGUGGGUGAAUGUUUACUGCGAAUCUCUCCCAUAUCCUACCUAUUAAAAGCGUUCCACUACAAAGGCGUAAUGAUUAUGAGGCUGACACCUAAAAAGCAAAAAAAAAAAGAGCCGGACAAAAACGAGUAACAGUAAGACGUGCAGUGCAAGCAGUCGCAAUUGUCCGGAACAAAUACAAGGUAACGAGACACUCACUUAUAUAUAUUUUUUCAAAAUUUCAAAAUUUACAUUGCCUUGGUGCGUAAUAUUGAUAUUAAAUUUGAGGAUGAGAAUGCCACGUUAAUUUUGUUAGUGUCUCUACCGUUAUCGUAUGAGAAUUUUGUUCAGUCUUUUAUUGGCGGUAAAGAUACAAUGACUUUAGAAGAAGUAAGAUCAGCACUGCAUAGUAAAGAGUUGCGCUAUAAGGCGGCGGGUUGUGUUACAGAUAAUCAAGCUGUUGGGUUAGUUGUCAGCAGUGGUAAAGGAAAAUUGAUGAAAAAAAAGUUCGGAAAGAAGAAGCAGUUCUCUAAAGAUCCCAAGCCGGAUGAUGUCUGUAACUACUGCAAGGAAAAAGGUCAUUGGAAAUCUGAUUGUUCCAAGAAAAAGAAGCAGCAGGAAAAGCAACACGCUUCAGCUUCAGUUGCAGAAAAAGAAGCGAAAAAUUCAGAAGAAGACCUAGCCCUAAUUGCAAAUGGACCAACACAUCACACUGAUGUGUGGGUUCUUGAUUCUGAGGCGUCCUAUCACAUAUGUCCAAACAGAGGAUGGUUUACAACAUAUGAGCAAAUAGAUGGCGAAAAUGUCGUGAUGGCUAAUAGCACUGUCUGCAAGGCUGUUGGGAUCAGUUCGAUUAAGAUCAGGACACAUGCUGGGAAAAUUGCCAUACUGAACGAAGUCAGGCACAUUCUAAAAUUGACGAAGAAUCUGAUAUCACUUAGUACUCUUGACAGUAAGGGUUUCAGGUUCAGCUGAGGAAGUGGAGAGUUUUGCAUCAGUAAAGGUUCAUUAGUCAUUCUCAAAGGAGUUAAGCAUAGCACCCUGUACAUCUUACAGGGUUCUAUGCUAACAGGUUCUGCCGCUGCUGCUGUUGCAUCUUCUGAAGAUUGCUGGUCUGAUAUGACCAAACUGUGGCGCAUUAGGUUUGUUCAUAUGAGAGAAAGGGGGAUGCAGAUUUUGUUUAAACGUGAUCUUCUAGAAGGCCACAAGGUCACCGAUCUUGGAUUCUGUUAACAUUGUACUUUCGGUAAAUCACAUCGCAGAAAGUUUGGGAAGGCAAUUCACUGGACAAAAGGCACACUUGAUUACAUCCAUUCUAACUAUUGGGAUCCUUCACGAGUUGAGUCUUUGGGAGGCUGUCGGUAUUUUUUAUCCAUGAUUGAUGAUUAUUCAAGGAUGACUUCGAUAAUCAUUAUGAAGGAAAAAUGUGAAGAUUUCAAGAACUUCAAGCAGUGGAAGGCCUCAGUGGAGAAUCAAAUUGGAAAAAAGAUCAAAAGGCUGAGAACUGAUAAUGGUCUGGAAUUCUAUUCAAAGGAGUUCUGCAAAGAUGAAGGAAUUGCUCGGCAUCACACAGUUCAACACAACUACAACAAAACGAUGUAGUAGAACUCAUGGAUCAGACACUUCUAGAGAGAGUACGGUGUAUGCUCUUCAAUGCUGAGUUGCCAAGGAAGUUCUAGGCGGAAGCAGUGAGCACAACCUGUUUUUUAAUCAAUCGUGCACCUUAUACAGGUAUAGACUACAAGUUACCUUAUAAAGUGUGGUCUGGUAAAUUCCCUUCUUACUCAAAUUAGAAGACUUUCGAUUGUACUAUGUGUUAUCAUGUCAGUGAGGGCAAACUAGAAUAAAGAGCUAAAAAGAGAGUGUUUUUGGGAUAUGGAGAUGGGGUUAAAGGGUAUCGAAUCUGGUCACCCUCAGAAAAGAAAGUUAUACUUAACAGAAGUGUAAUUUUUGAUGAAAACUCUUUACUUAACCCUCUUGUGAAGACUGUUUUUGAAGAAAGUGCAGGUGUUCAAAAACAGGUGGAGCUACAAAUCAUUCAAAAUGAUUUUGAAUCAUAGCAGCAUUUUGGUGAUCAUCAACCGCCAUCUUUUGAAACUGAACCUCCUACAGGAGUAGAGUCUCCAGAACCUACAUCAGCAGAAAGGUUGGCACCUAUAUCCCAUACUGCGUCAGAAACUCACCAGCACGGUAUUGCUUAUGAUCGUGUGAGGAGAGUGGGAGUACGAUCUCCCAGCAGGUAUCGGGAUUUUAUAGGUUAUGCAUUUUAGGUUGUUAAGAAGGUGGAUUCUCCUGAUCCCUCUGUCUAUAGAGAAGCUAUUUCGGGCAAUGAGUCAGCUCAAUGGCUUGAUGCAAUGAGUGAUGAAAUGGAGUCAUUACAUAAGAACGGCACUUGAAAAUUGGUCAAACGGCUAGCAGAGAGAAAGGUUGUUACUUGCAAAUGGGUCUUUAAAAGGAAGGAAGGAAUUUCUCCAGUUGAGGACAUCAAGUAUAAAGCACGUGUUGUUGCAAGAGGGCUCACUCAAAGAGAAAGAGUAGACUACAAUGAGAUUUUCUCACCAGUGGUCAGACACACUUCUAUCAGGGUGCUACUAGCAAUGGUUGCACAUCAGGACUUAGAACUUGAGCAGCUAGACGUGAAUACGACUUUCCCACAUGGAGAUUUAGAUGAUGAGAUUUCUAUGACUCAGCCAGAUGGAUUCCAUGUUCCGGGAAAAGAAGAUUAUGUAUGCAAGUUGAAGAAAUCCUUGUAUGUAUUAAAGUAGUCCCCAAGGCAGUGGUACAAAAGAUUUGACGGCUACAUGAUUGAGUUCGGCUACAACAAAAGUCAGUAUAAUUGUUGUGUACAUCACAACAAACUUGAAAAUGGUUCGAUGAUCUACUUGAUUCUGUAUGUAGAUGAUAUGCUCAUAGCUACGAGAAACAAAGCUGAUAUACAGAAGUUGAAAAGUCUUCUCAGUGCAGAGUUUGAGAUGAAAGACUUCGGUGCGACACAAAAAAUUCAAGGAAUGGAGAUUUUCAGGGAUAGAAGUCAGAAGAAACUUUUUUUUAUCACAGAAGAGCUAUAUUGAGAAGGUACUAUCCAGUUUUGGCAUGUCUACAACAAAGCCCUUGAAUGCUCCGAGUGUAGCGAAUGCUCAACUAUCAGUUACACGCGCACCACAAUUCGAAGCCGAGAUAGAGUAAAUGACUAAGGUUCCCUAUUCUAGUAUAGUGGGUAGUUUGAUGUAUGCCAUGGUCUGCACUAGAUUUGAUCUGGCACAUGCAAUCAGUGUUGUUAGCAGAUUUAUGACUAAUCCUAGGAAGGAGCAUUGGCUGACCGUGAAGCAAAUUUUUUGGUACUUGAGGGGUACAUCUGAUGUUGGUCUCAUAUAUGGAGGUGAUACAGAGUAUUUGGUUACAGGCUAUUCAGAUUCUAAUUAUGCUGGAGAUGUUGAUAGUAGGAGGUCGAUGACUGGUUAUGUUUUCACUCUUGGGCAUUUUGUAGUUUGUUGGAAAGCAGCUCUACAACCUACAGUAACUCUGUCCACUACUGAGGCAGAGUAUAUGGCAUUGACGGAGGAUGCUAAAAAGGAAAUUUGGUUAAAAGGGCUGGUUGAAGAUCUUGGCCUACAUCAGGAUCAAGCUAAUAUAUAUUGUGAUAGUCUCAGUGCAAUAUGUCUAGCCAAGGAUCAAUUUCAUCAUGAGAGAACUAAACACAUUGAUGUCCGAUAUCACUUUUUGAGAUCUGAGACAAGCAUCAAGGUGAAGAAAAUUGGCAUUGCUGACAAUCCUUCUGAUAUGUUAACCAAGCCUGUUCCUUAUAGUAAGUUCAAACAUUGUUUGGACUUGCUAAAGUCCUAAGUUUCUGAUAGCCGUAUGGGCAUUCUGAUGGUACUUAGAGACAAUUCUGAUGGUAAAACAUGAUUCUGAGUACGUCUGGCACUUCAUCAGUGCGUCUGUUACAUCUGUUUCCAAGAAGAUUCAAGUCAAGGUGGAGAUUUGUUAAAAUACCUUGAAUCAGGUCUUCGACCUCUGCUGAACUGUUUGGGAGUCUCGCUUAAUAAGGGUCCGUUUUAGUUUGGGUCUCGAUUUUUGGGCCUAAUGAUCCAGUCGGAUUUGGUUAGUUGGUUGUAUAUAUAUACCUUAUAUCCAUUUGUACAAAAAUAUCUGAUACAUUUCGAACUCUAAUAAAAUUUGAUUUUUUCCAAAUUUGUUCUUGCUUUUUCUUGUUUGUUUUUCCGUUCCUCUGCAUCUAUUUAACAAUAUCCACCAUACCAGGAGAUAUGUUAGCCAAAACAUUGUAUAUUCUGGUCAGAGGCAAGUUUCAACAUUCAAAUUGCCAAGACAUAUAUGAAACUAUUAUUCACUAAUUCAAUGAAACAGGAGCUUGCCUGUAUAAAAGUUGUCCAUCAGUCAUGGAGGAAAAAAGAAAUCUGAGAAAAUAUAGAAGAAACUAUAGAAGCAAAAGCCUUGAACAAACUCUAUACGUGCAAGUGACUAUCAGAAAGAAACAAGAGAAUCAAGACCUUGAUAUAAAAGUGAGGUCGAAGAGGAUGAGCCAUGGGACCAGCAUCCUAGAUGAUUAUGACAAAAAAUAAUUAGUCACAACAAGCUGAACCAUGAUCUAUUUGGAAUAACAUGAUUUUUUGCCUAUCCAAUUGAUGGUUCAUGAUGAAUUGAGUCCAAGUUUUAGAUAAUUAAGAUGUGCUACUGGGUCAUAGGCAACAAAGGUAGCUUUAUAUUACUGAGCCCAAGUAAUGUCCAACAAAGAAAGGAGUGAAAGAGUGGGAAAGACAGGGAGCGAGAGAGAGAUAUAUAUAUAUCUUCUCAUACACCUGCAAAAUGAACACAUGAAAAAUCAGUCGCCGAAGUUCACACACUGCCAAGAAGAGAUAUCAAACGAUGCAAAUGCUACGCCUUACCAUUACUGUAAGUUGAAAAUUAGCCAUCAUAUCCACCAUACCAGGAGAUGUGUUAGCCAGAACAUUUAUAUUCAUGUCAAAGGCAAGUUUCAACCUUCAAAUUGCCAAGACAUAUAUGAAACUAUUAUUCAUUAAUUCAAUGAAACAGGAGCUUGCCAGAAUAAAAGUUGUCCAUCUGUCAUGGAGGAAAAAAGAAAUCUGAACAAAUAUAGAAGAAACUAUAGAAGCAAAAGCCUUGAACAAACUCUAUACGUGCACGUGACUAUCAGAAGAAACAGGAGAAUUAAGACCUUGAUAUAAGAGUGAGGUCAAACAGGGUGAUCCAUGGGACCAGCAUUCUAGAUGAUUAUGACAAAGAAUAAUUAGUCAUAACAAGCUGAACCAUGAUCCAUUAGGAAUAAAAUUGAUUUUUUCCUAUCCAAUUGAUGGUUCAUGAUGAACCGAGCCCAAGUUUUAGAUAAUUAAUAUGUGCAACUAGAGUCAUAGGCAACAAAGACAGCUUUAUAGACCUGAGGAUAUUGAUAAAUUCUAAGCUUCAAAACAUCGGCUAUUCUCUUCACAGUACUGCUGCCCACAUCAGAUGAAAAUUCUUGUCCGUUGGCAUUCAUGUUCAGGAGUUAAGCCAAAAUUGAAUGUUUAUAAUAACCAGAGCCUCUACAAAAAAAAAUGUAUACCGGAUCACGGAAGACUGUGAGCCCUUCUUUCAAACUAAGCUGGGCAAAAACUGAAGUAAGCUCAUUACAAACGAAAAAAACUAAAAAAAUAACGACUAGAUUCAUAACUAUUUAUAAAAAAAAUGUAAAAGAUUUAGUUCUCCUUUGCCCAACGUUGAUGGGCAACAAGAUCCCCUACACUUUUAAAUAUGUUAUCAGAUAUAUCGCAACUGAACUUCAAGCGACCAUGAAUAGAAUUAUUGUGCUUUAUCAGUGCAUCACGACUCGAAAAUGAGCAUUCACAGUGGGAAUGGUAACACCACCACUAAACUCCAUGUGGCGGAGCUCGGGGUUCUUGUUCUUUUUUUGGCAUAUUUAAACCUAAAAAAGAAAUGUAUGAGAAUGAAAAAUUACAAAUUAAAAAAAUAACAGCAAAAUAACAGCAAAAGAAAAGGAAAAAUAAUCCGAAGCUGCAUGUUUUGUCAUCACAACUAUCACCAAAAAAAAAACACUGAGUUCUAAUCAGCGAUAGAACUUUUUUUUCCGAGUUUUAAGUUGAAAUAUUUGUUCAAACUGAUCAUCGCACAUAUCUUCAUCGUCAUCACAAAAACCAAAAGUUUAUUGAAACAUACAUAACACCUCGAAGCUAACUAAAUUCAAAAAGUUUCUGAAAGCCAAAAGCCAAAAGUUUCUGAAAAAUUUUUCUUCAACAAAACAACUGCAGCUAAAUUCAACACUUUGAAGCUAGCUUUUCUAAUUUUAGAAACUUUUUCGUAAUCUUUUGUUCUUCAACCAAGAAAGCACGGAUAUACUUCAUCUGCAUAAGCGAAAAGCGAAAAAUCUACUACAAUACAAAAUAAAAAUUUAGAAAUAACUAACUAAAAGGAAGCGAUAAUCACCAUAGCUUAGGUACUUCUCCACUUAUUCUGUACUUGCUGGUUCUGUAUUUCCUCCGUCUGGAUGCUUCUCAGGAGAAAAAUAUGUGGGUGAAUGUUUACUGCGAAUCUCUCCCAUACCCUACCUAUUAAAAGCGUUCCACUACAAAGGCGUAAUGAUUAUGAGGCUGACACCUAAAAAGCAAAAAAAAAAGAGCCGGACAAAAACGAGUAACAGUAAGACGUGCAGUGCAAGCAGCCGCAAUUGUCGGGAACAAAUACAAGGUAACUAGAAACUCACUUAUAUAUAUUUUUUCUAAAAUUCAAAAUUUACAUUGCCUUGGUACGUAAUAUUGAUAUUAAAAUUGAGGAUGAGGAUGCCACGUUAAUUCUGUUAGUGUCUCUACCGUUAUCGUAUAAGAAUUUUGUUCAGUCUUUUAUUGGCGGUAAAGAUACAGUGACUUUAGAAGAAGUAAGAUCAGCACUGCAUAGUAAAGAGUUGCGCCAUAAGGCGGCGGGUAGUGUUACAGAUAAUCAAGCUGUUGGGCUAGUUGUCAGCAGUGGUAAAGGAAAAUUAAUGAAAAAGAAGUCCGGAAAGAAGAAGCAGUUCUCUAAAGGUCCCAAGCUGGAUGAUGUCUGUAACUACUACAAGGAAAAGGGUCAUUGAAAAUCUGAUUGUUCCAAGAAAAAGAAGCAGCAGGAAAAGCAACACGCUUCAGCUUCAGUUGCAGAAAAGGAAGCAGAAAAUUCAGAAAAAGACCUGACCCUAACUGCAAACGAACCAACACAUCACUCUAAUGUGUAGGUUCUUGAUUCUGGGGCGUCCUAUCACAUUUGUCCAAAUAGGGAAUGGUUUACAACAUAUGAGCAGAUUGAUGGCGAAAAUAUUGUGAUGGCUAAUAGUGCUGUCUGCAAAGCUGUUGGGAUUGGUUCGAUUAAGAUCAGGACACAUGCUGAGAAAAUUGCCAUACUGAAUGAAAUCAGGCACGUUCGAAAAAUGACGAAGAAUAUGAUAUCACUUAGUACUCUUGACAGUAAGGGUUUUAGGUUCAGUGGAGGAAGUGGAGAGUUGUGCAUCAGUAAAGGUUCAUUAAUGUUUCUCAAAGGAGUUAAGCAUGGCACCCUGUACAUCUUACAGGGUUCUAUGCUAACAGGUUCUGCGGCCGCUGCUGUUGCAUUUUCUGAAGAUUGCUGGUCUGAUAUGACCAAACUGUGGCGCAUUAGAUUUGUUCAUAUGAGAGAAAGGGGGAUGCAGAUUUUGUUUAAACGUAAUCUUCUAGAAGGCCACAAGGUCACCGAUCUUGGAUUCUGUGAACAUUGUACUUUCGGUAAACCACAUCGCAGAAAGUUUGGGAAGGCAAUUCACUGGACAAAAGACACACUUGAUUACAUCCAUUCUAACUAUUGGGGUCCUUCACGAGUUGAGUCUUUGGGAGGCUGUCGGUAUUUUUUAUCCAUGAUUGAUGAUUAUUCAAGGAUGACUUGGAUAAUCAUUAUGAAGGAAAAAAUGUGAAGAUUUCAAGACCUUCAAGCAGUGGAAGGCCUCAGUGGAGAAUCAAACUGGAAAAAAGAUCAAAAGGCUGAGAACUGAUAAUGGUCUGGAAUUCUAUUCAAAGGAGUUUUGCAAAAAUGAAGGAAUUGCUCGGCAUUACACAGUUCAAUACACGCUACAACAAAAUGAUGUAGUAGAACGCAUGAAUCAGACACUUCUAGAGAGAGUACGGUGUAUGCUCUUCAAUGCUGAGUUGCCAAGGAGGUUCUCGGCGGAAGCAGUGAGCACAGCCAGUUUUUUGAUCAAUCGUGCACCUUAUACAGGUAUAGACUACAAGAUACCUUAUGAAGUGUGGUCUGGUAAGUCCCCUACUUACUCAAAUUAGAAGGCUUUCAGUUGUACUAUGUGUUAUCAUGUCAGUGAGGGCAAACUAGAAUAAAGAGUUAAAAAGAGAGUGUUUCUGGGAUAUGGAGAUGGGGUUAAAGGGUAUAGAAUCUAGUCACCCUCAGAAAAGAAAGUUAUACUUAACAGAAGUGUAAUUUUUGAUGAAAAUUCUUUACUUAACCCUUUUGUGAAGACUGUUGUUGAAGAAAGUGCAGGUGUUGAGAAACAGGUGGAGCUACAAAUCAUUCAAAAUGAUUUUGAAUCACAGCAGCAAUUUGGUGAUCAUCAACCGGCAUCUUUUGAAACUGAACCUCCUACAGGAGUAGAGUCUCCAGAACCUACAUCAGCAGAAAGGUUGGCACCUAUAUCCCAUACUGCGUCAGAAACUCACCGGCACGGUAUUGCUUAUGAUCGUGUGAGGAGAGCGGGAGUACGAUCUCCCAGCAGGUAUCGGGAUUUUAUAGGUUAUGCAUUUUAGGUUGUUGAGAAGGUGGAUUCUCCUGAUCCCUCUGCCUAUAGAGAAGCUAUUUCGGGCAAUGAGUCAGCUCAAUGGCUUGAUGCAAUGAGUGAUAAAAUGGAGUCAUUACAUAAUAACGGCACUUGAAAAUUGGUCAAACGGCCAGCAGAGAGAAAGGUUGUGACUUGCAAAUGGGCCUUUAAAAGGAAGGAAGGAAUUUCUCCAGUUGAGGACAUCAAGUAUAAAGCACGUGUUGUUGCAAGAGGGUUCACUCAAAGAGAAGGAGAAAACUACAAUGAGAUUUAUAUGACUCAGCCAGAUGGAUUCCAUGUUCCGGGAAAAGAAGAUUAUGUAUGCAAGUUGAAGAAAUCCUUGUAUGGAUUAAAGUAGUCCCCAAGGCAGUGGUACAAAAGAUUUGACGGCUACAUGAUUGAGUUCGGCUACAAUAGAAGUCAGUAUAAUUGUUGUGUAUAUCACAACAAUCUUGAAGAUGGUUCGAUGAUCUACUUGAUUCUGUAUGUAGAUGAUAUGCUCAUAGCUACGAGGAACAAAGCUGAUAUACAGAAGUUGAAAAGUCUUCUCAGUGCAGAGUUUGAGAUGAAAGACUUCGGUGCGAUUCAAAAAAUUCAAGGAAUGGAGAUUUUCAGGGAUAGAAGUCAGAAGAACUUUUUUUAUCACAGAAGAGCUAUAUUGAGAAGGUACUAUCCAGUUUUGGCAUGUCUACAACAAAGCCCUUGAAUGCUCCGAGUGCAGCGAAUGCUCAACUAUCAGUUACACGCGCACCACAAUCCGAAGCCGAGAUAGAGUAAAUGACUUAUGUUCCCUAUUCUAGUAUAGUGGGUAGUUUGAUGUAUGCCAUGGUCUUCACUAGAUUUGAUCUGGCACAUGCAAUCAGUGUUGUUAGCAGAUUUAUGACUAAUCCUAGGAAGGAGCACUGGCUGGCCGUGAAGCAAAUUUUUUGAUACUUGAGGGGUACAUCUGAUGUUGGUCUCAUCUAUGGAGGUGAUACAGAGUGUUUGGUUACAGGCUAUUCAGAUUCUAAUUAUACUGGAGAUGUUGAUAGUAGAAGGUCGAUGACUGGUUAUGUUUUCACUCUUGGGCAUUUUGUAAUUAGUUGGAAAGCAACUCUACAACCUACAGUGACUCUGUCCACUACUGAGGCAGAGCAUAUGGCACUGACGGAGGCUGCUAAAAAGGAAAUUUGGUUAAAGGGGCUGGUUGAAGAUCUUGGCCUACAUCAGGAUCAAGCUAAUAUAUAUUGUGAUAGUUUCAGUGCAAUAUGUCUAGCCAAGGAUCAAGUUCAUCAUGAGAGAACUAAACACAUUGAUGUCCGAUAUCACUUUUUGAGAUCUGAGACAAGCAUCAAGGUGAAGAAAAUAGGCACUGCUGACAAUCCUUCUGAUAUGUUCACCAAGCCUGUUCCUUAUAGUAAGUUCAAACAUUGUUUGGACUUGCUAAAGUCCUAAGUUUCUGAUAGCCCUUAUGGGCAUUCUGAUGGUACUUAGAGACAAUUCUGAUGGUAAAACAUGAUUCUGAGUACGUCCGGCACUUCAUCAGUGCGUCUGUUACAUCUGUUUCCAAGAAGAUUCAAGUCAAGGUGGGGAUUUGUUAAAAUACCUUGAAUCAGGUCUUCGACCUCCGCUGAACUGUUUGGGAGUCUCGCUUAAUAAGGGUCCGUUUUAGUUUGGGUCUCGAUUUUUGGGCCUAAUGAUCCAGUCCGAUUUGGUUAGUUGGUUGUAUAUAUAUACCUUAUAUCCAUUUGUACAAAAAUAUCGGAUAAAUUUCGAGCUCUAAUAAAAUUUGAUUUUUCCCAAAUUUGUUCUUGCUUUUUCUUGUUUGUUUUUCCGUUCCUCUGCAUGUAUUUUAACAAUAUCCACCAUACCAGGAGAUAUGUUAGACAAAAUAUUGUAUAUUCUGGUCAGAGGCAAGUUUCAACAUUCAAAUUGCCAAGACAUAUAUGAAACUAUUAUUCACUAAUUCAAUGAAACAGGAGCUUGCCUGUAUAAAAGUUGUCCAUCAGUCAUGGAGGAAAAAAGAAAUCUGAGCAAAUAUAGAAGAAACUAUAGAAGCAAAAGCCUUGAACAAACUCUAUACGUGCAAGUGACUAUCAGAAAGAAACAAGAGAAUCAAGACCUUGAUAUAAAAGUGAGGUCGAAGUGGGUGAGCCAUGGGACCAGCAUCCAAGAUGAUUAUGACAAAAAAUAAUUAGUCACAACAAGCUGAACCAUGAUCUAUUCGGAAUAACAUGAUUUUUUCCUAUCCAAUUGAUGGUUCAUGAUGAAUUGAGUCCAAGUUUUAGAUAAUUAAGAUGUGCUACUGGGUCAUAGGCAACAAAGGUAGCUUUAUAUUACUGAGCCCAAGUAAUGUCCAACAAAGAGAGGAGUGAAAGAGUAGGAAAGACAGGGAGCGAGAGAGAGAGAUAUAUAUCUUCUCAUACACCUGCAAAAUGAACACAUGAAAAAUCAGUCGCCGAAGUUCACACACUGCCAAGAAGAGAUAUCAAACGAUGCAAAUGCUACGCCUUACCAUUACUGUAAGUUGAAAAUUAGCCAUUAUAUCCACCAUACCAGGAGAUGUGUUAGCCAAAACAUUGUAUAUUCAUGUCAAAGGCAAGUUUCAACCUUCAAAUUGCCAAGACAUAUAUGAAACUAUUAUUCAUUAAUUCAAUGAAACAGGAGCUUGCCAGAAUAAAAGUUGUCCAUCUGUCAUGGAGGAAAAAAGAAAUCUGAACAAAUAUAGAAGAAACUAUAGAAGCAAAAGCCUUGAACAAACUCUAUACGUGCACGUGACUAUCAGAAGAAACAGGAGAAUUAAGACCUUGAUAUAAGAGUGAGGUCAAACAGGGUGAUCCAUGGGACCAGCAUUCUAGAUGAUUAUGACAAAGAAUAAUUAGUCACAACAAGCUGAACCAUGAUCUAUUUGGAAUAACAUGAUUUUUUCCUAUCCAAUUGAUGGUUCAUGAUGAACCGAGCCCAAGUUUUAGAUAAUUAAUAUGUGCUACUAGAGUCAUAGGCAACAAAGACAGCUUUAUAGACCUGAUAAAUUCUAAGCUUCAAAACAUCGGCUAUUCUCUUCACAGUACUGCUGCCCACAUCAGAUGAAAAUUCCUGUCCGUUGGCAUCCAUGUUUAGGAGUUAAGCCAAAAUUGAAUGUUUAUAAUAACCAGAGCCUCUACAAAAAAAAUGUAUAUCGGAUCACGGAAGACUGUGAGCCCUUCUUUCAAACUAAGGUGGGCAAAAACUGAAGUAAGCUCCUUACAAACGAAAAAAACUAAAAAAAUAACGACUAGAUUCAUAACUAUUUAUAAAAAUAAUGUAAAAGAUUUAGUUCUCCUUUGCCCAACGUUGAUGGACAACAAGAUCCCCUAUACUUUUAAAUAUGUUAUCAGAUAUAUCGCAACUGAACUUCAAGCGACCAUGAAUAGAAUUAUUGUGCUUUAUCAGUGCGUCACGACUCGAAAAUGAGCAUUCACAGUGGGAAUGGUAACACCACCACUAAACUCCGGGUGGCGGAGCUCGGGGUUCUUGUUCUUUUUUUGGCAUAUUUAAACCUAAAAAAGAAACGUAUGAGAAUGACAAAUUACAAAUUAAAAAAAUAAAAUCAAAAUAACAGCAAAAGAAAAGAAAAAAUAAUCAGAAGCUGCAUGUUUUGUCAUCACAACUAUCACCAAAAAAAAAACACUGAGUUCUAAUCAGCGAUAGAACUUUUUUUUCGAGUUUUAAGUUGAAAUAUUUGUUCAAACUGAUCAUCGCACAUAUCUUCAUCGUCGUCACAAAAACCAAAAGUUUUUUGAAACAUACAUAACAACUCGAAGCUAACUAAAUUCAAAAAGUUUCUGAAAGCCAAAAGCCAAAAGUUUCUGAAAAAUUUUUCUUCAACAAAACAACUGCAGCUAAAUUCAACACUUCGAAGCUAGGUUUUCUAAUUUUAGAAACUUUUUCGUAAUCUUUUGUUCUUCAACCAAGAAAGCACGGAUAUACUUCAUCUGCAUAAGCGAAAAGCGAAAAAUCUACUACAAUACAAAAUAAAAAUUCAGAAAUAAUUAAUUAAAAGGAAGCGAUAAUCACCAUAGCUUGGGUACUUCUCCACUUAUUCUGUACUUGCUGGUUCUGUAUUUCCUCCGUCUGGAUGCUUCUCAGGAGAAAAAUAUGUGGGUGAAUGUUUACUGCGAAUCUCUCCCAUAUCCUACCUAUUAAAAGCGUUCCACUACAAAGGCGUAAUGAUUAUGAGGCUGACACCUAAAAAGCAAAAAAAAAAAAGAGCCGGACAAAAACGAGUAACAGUAAGACGUGCAGUGCAAGCAGCCACAAUUUUCGGGAACAAAUACAAGGUAACUAGACACUCACUUAUAUAUAUUUUUUCUAAAAUUCAAAAUUUACAUUGCCUUGGUACGUAAUAUUGAUAUUAAAAUUGAGGAUGAGGAUGCCACGUUAAUUCUGUUAGUGUCUCUAUUGUUAUCGUAUGAGAAUUUUGUUCAGUCUUUUAUUGGCGGUAAAGAUACAGUGACUUUAGAAGAAGUAAGAUCAGCACUGCAUAGUAAAGAGUUGUGCCAUAAGGCGGCGGGUAGUGUUACAGAUAAUCAAGCUAUUGGGCUAGUUGUCAGCAGUGGUAAAGGAAAAUUAAUGAAAAAGAAGUCAGAAAACAAGAAGCAGUUCUCUAAAGGUUCCAAGCCAGAUGAUGUCUGUAACUACUGCAAGGAAAAGGGUCAUUGGAAAUCUGAUUGUCCCAAGAAGAAGAAGCAGCAGGAAAAGCAACACGCUUCAGCUUCAGUUGCAGAAAAGGAAGCAGAAAAUUCAGAAGAAAAUCUGACCCUAAUUGCAAACGAACCAACACAUCACUCUAAUUUGUAGGUUCUUGAUUUUGGGGCGUCCUAUCACAUAUGUCCAAAACAGAGAAUGGUUUAUAACAUAUGAGCAGAUAGAUGACGAAAAUGUCGUGAUGGCUAAUAGCGCUGUCUGCAAGACUGUUGGGAUCGGUUCGAUUAAGAUCAGAACACAUGCUGGAAAAAUUGCCAUGGGACCAGCAUCCUAGAUGAUUAUGACAAAGACUAAUUAGUCACAACAAGCUGAACCAUGAUCUAUUUGGAAUAACAUGAUUUUUUUCACAUCCAAUUGAUGGUUCAUGAUGAAUUGAGCCUAAGUUUUAGAUAAUUAAUAUGUGCUACCGGAGUCAUAGGCAACAAAGACAACUUUAUAAAGCUGAGGAAAUUGCUAAAUUCUAAACUUCAAAACAUCGGCUAUUCUCUUCACAGUACUGCUGCCCACAUCAAAUGAAAAUUCCUGUCCGUUGGCAUCCAUGUUCAGGAGUUAAGCCAAAAUUGAAUGUUUAUAAUAACCACAGCUUCUACAAAAAAAAUGUAUAUCGGAUCACGGAAAACAGUAAGCCCUUCUUUCAAACUAAGCUGGGCAAAAACUGAAGCAGGCUCCUUACAAACGAAAAAAACUAAAAAAAUAACGACUAGAUUCAUAACUAUUUAUAAAAAAAAUGUAAAAGAUUUAGUUCUCCUUUGCCUAACGUUGAUGGGCAACAAGAUCCCCUAUACUUUUAAACUUGUUAUCACAUAUAUCGCAACUGAACUUCAAGCGACCAUGAACAGAAUUAUUGUGCUUCAACAGUGCAUCACGACUCGCAAAUGAGCAUUCACAGUGGGAAUGGUAACACCAGCACUGAACCCCGGGUGGCAGAGCUCGGGAUUCUUGUUCUUUUUUUGGCAUAUUUAAACGUAAAAAAGAAACGUAUCAGAACGACAAAUUACAAAUUAAAAAAAUAACAGCAAAAGAAAAGGAAAAAUAAUCCGAAGCUGCAUGUUUUGUCAUCACAACUAUCACAAAAAAAAACACUGAGUUCUAAGCAGCAAUAGAACCUUUUUUUCCGAGUUUUAAGUUGAAAUAUUUGUUCAAACUGAUCAUCGCACAUAUCUUCAUCGUCAUCACAAAAAUCAAAAGUUUUUUGAAACAUACAUAACAACUCGAAACUAGCUAAAUUCAAAAAGUUUCUGAAAGCCAAAAGCCAAAAGUUUCUGAAAAUUUUUCUUCAACAAAACAACUGCAGCUAAAUUCAACACUUCGAAGCUACCUUUUCUAAUUUCGAAAACUUUUUCGUAAUCUUUUGCUCUUUAACCAAGAAAGCAUGGAUAUACUUCAUCUGCAUAAGCGAAAAGCGAAAAAUCUACAACAAUACAAAAUAAAAAUCUAGAAAUAACUAAUUAAAAGGAAGCGAUAAUCACCAUAGUUUAGGCACUUCUCCACUUAUUCUGCACUUGCUGGUUCUGUAUUUCCUCCGUCUGGAUGCUUCUCAGGAGAAAAAUGUGUGGGUGAAUGUUUACUGCGAAUCUCUCCCAUAUCCUACCUAUUAAAAGCGUUCCACUACAAAGGCGUAAUGAUUAUGAGGCUGACACCUAAAGGGCAGAAAAAAAAGAGCCGGACAAAAACGAGUAACAGUAAGACGUGCAGUGCAAGCAGCCGCAUUUGCCAAGAACAAAUACAGGGUAACUAGACACUCACUUAUAUAUUUUUUUUCUAAAAUUCAAAAUUUACAUUGCCUUGGUGCGUAAUAUUAAUGUUAAAAUUGAGGAUAAGAAUGCCACGUUGAUUCUGUUAGUGUCUCUACCGUUAUCGUAUAAGAAUUUUGUUCAAUCUUUUCUUGGCGGUAAAGAUACAGUGACUUUAGAAGAAAUAAGAUUAGCACUGCAUAGUAGAGAGUUGCGCCAUAAGGCGGCUGGUAGUGUUAUAGAUAAUCAGACUGCUGGGUAGUUGCCAGCAGUGGUAAAGGAAAAUUGAUGAAAAAGAAGUCCGGAAACAAGAAGCAGUUCUCUAAAGGUUCCAAACCGGAUGCUGUCUGUAACUACUGCAAGGAAAAGGGUCAUUGGAAAUCUGAUUGUCCCAAGAAGAAGAAGCAGCAGGAAAAGCAACACGCUUCAGCUUCAGUUGCAGAAAAAGAAGCAGAAAAUACAGAAGAAGACCUGACGGUAAUUGCAAACGAACCAACACAUCACUCUGAUGUGUAGGUUCUUGAUUUUGGGACGUCCUAUCACAUAUGUCCAAAACAGAGAAUGGUUUACAACAUAUGAGCAGAUAGAUGACGAAAAUGUCGUGAUGGCUAAUAGCGCUGUUUGCAAGACUGUUGGGAUCGCUUCGAUUAAGAUCAGAACACAUGCUGGAAAAAUUGCCAUGGGACCAGCAUCCUAGAUGAUUAUGACAAAGAAUAAUUAGUCACAACAAGCUGAACCAUAAUCAAUUUGGAAUAACAUGAUUUUUUUCAUAUCCAAUUGAUGGUUCAUGAUGAACUGAGCCCAAGUUUUAGAUAAUUAAUAUGUGCUACUGGAGUCAUAGGCAACAAAGACAACUUUAUAAAGCUGAGGAAAUUGAUAAAUUCUAAGCUUCAAAACAUCGGCUAUUCUCUUCACAGUACUGCUACCCAUAUCAGAUGAAAAUUCCUGUCCGUUGGCAUCCAUGUUCAGGAGUUAAGCCAAAAUUGAACGUUUAUAAUAACCACAGCUUCUACAGAAAAUAUGUAUACCGGAUCACGGAAGACAGUAAGCCCUUCUUUCAAACUAAGCUGGGCAAAAACUGAAGCAGGCUCCUUACAAACGAAAAAAACUAAAAAAAUAACGACUAAAUUCAUAACUAUUUAUAAAAAAAAAUGUAAAAGAUUUAGUUCUCCUUUGCCCAACGUUGAUGGGCAACAAGAUCCCCUAUACUUUUAAACUUGUUAUCACAUAUAUCGCAACUGAACUUCAAGCGACCACGAACAGAAUUAUUGUGCUUCAACAGUGCAUCACGACUCGCAAAUGAGCAUUCACAGUGGGAAUGGUAACACCAGCACUGAACCUCGGGUGGCAGAGCUCGAGGUUCUUGUUCUUUUUUUGGCAUAUUUAAACGUAAAAAAGAAACGUAUGAGAACGACAAAUUACAAAUUAAAAAAAUAACAGCAAAAGAAAAGGAAAAAUAAUCCGAAGCUGCAUGUUUUGUCAUCACAACUAUCACAAAAAAAAAACACUGAGUUCUAAGCAGCGAUAGAACUUUUUUUUCCGAGUUUUAAGUUGAAAUAUUUGUUCAAACUGAUCAUCGUACAUAUCUUCAUCGUCAUCACAAAAAUCAAAAGUUUUUUGAAACAUACAUAACAACUCGAAACUUAUAUUUUUUUUUUCUAAAAUUCAAAAUUUACAUUGCCUUGGUGCGUAAUAUUGAUGUUAAAAUUGAGGAUAAGGAUGCCACGUUGAUUCUGUUAGUGUCUCUACCGUUAUCGUUUGAGAAUUUUGUUCAGUCUUUUAUUGGCGAUAAAGAUACAGUGACUUUAGAAGAAAUAAGAUCAGCACUACAUAGUAGAGAGUUACACCAUAAGGCGGCUGGUUGUGUUACAGAUAAUUAGGCUGCUGGGCUAGUUGUCAGCAGUGGUAAAGAAAUAUUGGGAAAAAAGAAGUCCGAAAACAAGAAGCAGUUCUCUAAUGGUCCCAAGCCGGAUGAUGUCUGUAACUACUGCACGGAAAAGGGUCAUUGAAAAUUUGAUUGUCCGAAGAAGAAGAAGCAGCAGGAAAAUCAACACGCUUCAGCUUCAGUUGCAGAAAAGGAAGCGAAAAAUUAAGAAGAAGACCUGGCCCUAAUUGCAAACAAACCAACACAUCACUCUGAUGUAUGGGUUCUUGAUUCUGGGCCGUCCUAUCAUAUAUGUCCAAAUAGGGAAUGGUUUACAACAUAUGAGCAAAUAGAUGGCGGAAAUGUCGUGAUGGCUAAUAGCGCUGUCUGCAAGGUAGUUGGGAUCAGUUCGAUUAAGAUCAGGACACAUGCUGGAAAAAUUGCCAUACUGAACGAAGUCAGGCACGUUCCAAAAAUGAUGAAGAAUCUGAUAUCACUUAUUACUUUUGACAGUAAGGGUUUCAGGUUCAGCGGAGGAAGUGGAAAGUUGUGCACCAGUAAAGGUUCGUUAGUGGUUCUCAAAGGAGUUAAGCAUAGCACCCUGUGCAUCUUUCAGGGUCCUACGCUAACAGGUUCUGCCAAUGCUGCUGUUGCAUCUUUUGAAGAUCGCAGGUCUGAUAAGACCAAAUUGUGGCACAUUAGGCUUGGUCAUAUGAGCGAAAGGGGGAUGCAGAUUCUGUCUAAACGUGAUCUUCUAGAAUGCCACAAGGUCACCGAUCUUGGAUUCUGUGAACAUUGUACUUUCGAUAAACUACAUCACAGAAAUUUUGGGAAGGCAAUUCACAGGACCAAAGGCAUACUUGAUUACAUCCAUUCUGACUGUUGGGGUCCUCCACGAGUUGAGUCUUUGGGAGGCUGUCGGUAUUUUUUAUCCAUGAUUGAUGAUUAUUCAAGGAUGACUUUUGUAAUCGUUAUGAAGGAAAAAUGUGAAGCUUUCAAGGACUUCAAGCAGUGGAAGGCCUUAGUGGAGAAUCAAACUGGAAAGAAAAUCAAAAGGCUGAGAACUGUUAAUGGUCUGGAAUUCUAUUCAAAGGAGUUUGAUAAGUUCUGCAAAGAUGAAGGAAUUGUUCGACAUCACACAGUUCGACACACACCACAACAAAACGGUGUAACAGAACGCAUGAAUUAGACACUUCUAGAGAGAGUACGGUGUAUGCUCUUCAAUGCUGAGUUACCAAGGAGGUUCUGGGCGGAAGCAGUGAGCACAGCCUGUUUUUUGAUCAAUCGUGCACCUCAUACAGGUAUAGACUACAAGAUACCUUAUGAAGUGUGGUCUGGUAAGUCCCCUAUUUACUCAAAUUGGAAGGCUUUUGGUUGUACUAUGUAUUAUCAUGUCAGUGAGGGCAAAGUAGAACAAAUGGCUAAAAAGGAAGUGUUUCUGGGAUAUGGAGACGGGGUUAAAGGGUAUAGAAUUUGGUCACCCUCAGAAAAGAAAGUUAUACUUAGUAGAAGUGUAAUUUUUAAUGAAAAUUCUAUACUUAACCCUCCUAUAAAGAUUGUUGUUGAAGAAAGUGCAGGUGUUGAUAAACAGGUGAAGCUACAAAUCAUUCAAAAUGGUUUUGAAUCAUAGCAGCAAUUUGGUGAUCAUCAACAGCUAUCCUUUGAAACUGAACCUCCUGCAGCAGUAGAGUCUCCAGAACCUGCAUUAGCAGAAAGGUUGGCACCUAUAUCCCAUACUGCGUCAGAAACUCAGCAGCAUGGUAUUGCUUAUGAUCGUGCGAGGAGAGUGAGAGUACGAGCUCCCGGCAGGUAUCGGGAUUUUGUAGGUUAUGCAUUUCAGGUUGCUGAGGAGGUGGAUUCUCUUGAGUUCUCUACCUAUAGAGAAGCUAUUUCAGGCAGUGAGUCAGCUCAAUGGCUUGCUACAAUGGGUGAUGAAAUAGAGUCAUUACACAAGAACGGCACUUGGAAAUUGGUCAAACGGCCAAUAGAGAGAAAGGUUGUGAAUUGCAAAUGGGUCUUUUAAAGGAAGGAAGAAAUUUCUUCAGCUGAAGGCAUCAAGUAUAAAGCACGUGUUGCUGUAAGAGGGUUCACUCAAAGAGAAGGAGUAGACUACAAUAAGAUUUUCUCACCAGUGGUCAGACACACUUCUAUCAGGGUGCUACUAGCAAUGGUUGCACAUCAGGACUUAGAACUUGAGCAGCUAGACGUGAAGACAGCUUUCCUACAUGGAGAUUUAGAUGAAGAGAUUUAUAUGACUCAGCCAGAUGGAUUCCAUGUUCCAGGAAAAGAAGAUUAUGUAUGCAAGUUGAAGAAAUCCUUGUAUGGAUUAAAGUAGUCCCCAAGGCAGUGGUACAAAAGAUUUGACGGCUACAUGAUUGAGUUCGGCUACAACAGAAGUCAGUAUAAUUGUUGUGUAUAUCACAACAAACUUGAAGAUGGUUCGAUGAUCUACUUGAUUCUGUAUGUAGAUGAUAUGCUCAUAGCUACGAGGAACAAAGCUGAUAUACAGAAGUUGAAAAGUCUUCUCAGUGCAGAGUUUGAGAUGAAAGACUUCGGUGCGGCACAAAAAAUUCAAGGAAUGGAGAUUUUCAGGGAUAAAAGUCAAAAGAAACUUUUCUUAUCACAGAAGAGCUAUAUUGAGAAGGUACUAUCCAGAUUUGGAAUGUCUACAGCAAAGCCCUUGAGUACUCCGAGUGCAGCGAAUGCUCAACUAUCAGUUACACUCGCACCAUAGUCAGAAGCCGAGAUAGAGUAUAUGGCUAAGGUUCCCUAUUCUAGUGCAGUGGGUAGUUUGAUAUAUGCCAUGGUCUACACUAGGCCUAAUCUGACACAUGCAGUCAGUGUUGUUAGCAGAUUUAUGGCUAAUCCUAGGAAGGAGCACUGGUUGGCCGUGAAGUGAAUUUUUUGGUACUUGAGGGGUACAUCUGAUGUUGGUCUCAUCUAUGGAGGUGAUACAAAGUGUUUGGUUACAGGCCAUUCAGAUUCUGAUUAUGCUGGAUAUGUUGAUAGUAGGAGGUCGAUGACUGGUUAUGUUUUCACUCUUGGGCAUUCUGUAGUUAGUUGGAAAGCAACUCUACAAACUACAGUGACUCUGUCCACUACUGAGACAGAGUAUAUGGCACUGACGGAGGCUGCUAAAGAGGGAAUUUGGUUAAAGGGGCUGGUUGGAGAUCUUGGCCUACAUCAGGAUCAGGCUAAUAUAUAUUGUGAUAGUCUCAGUGCAAUAUGUCUAGCCAAGGAUCAAGUUCAUCCUGAAAGGACUAAACACAUUAAUGUCCGAUAUCACUUCUUGAGAUCUGAGACAAGGAUCAAGGUGAAGAAAAUUGGCACUGCUGACAAUCCUGCUGAUAUGUUCACCAAGCCGGUUCCUCAUAGUAAAUUCAAACAUUGUUUAGACUUGCUAAAUGUCCUAAGUUUCUGAUAGCCCUUAUGGGCAUUCUGAUGGUAUUUAGAGACAAUUCUGAUGAUAAAAGAAGACUCUGAGUACGUCUGACACUUCAUCAGUGCGUUUGUUACAUCUAUUUCCGAGAAAAUUCAAGUUAAGGUGGAGAUUUGUUGAAAUGCAUUGAAUCAGAUCUUCGACCUCCGUUGAGCUAUUCGGGGGUCUCGCUUAGUAAGGGUCCGUUUUAGUUUGGGUCUCGGUUUUUGGGCCUAAUGGUUCAGUCCAUUUUGGUUAUUUGGUUUUAUAUAUAUACCUUAUAUCCAUUCUGUACAAAAAUAUCUGAUACAUUCCGAACCCUAAUAAAAAUCUGAUUUCCCCCAAAUUUGUUCUUGCUUAUUCUUGUUUGUUCUUCCGUUCCGCUGCAUCUGUUUUAACACUAUUAGUGUGAGGUAACUUAAGUUGCAAUACCCCACAGAGCACUCUGCCGCUGAGAGUUGGAUUUUCAAUUGGGGGACAUUUGGAAUCUUUCUAAUUAUAUUUUCCGCUCUAUCGUCUAAAGACACAAUCAAGGUGGAAAGAGUGUCUAAAUUCGAGAGGCCGGAGGUGUUUUCAAGAUUUUCACUCGGCAAAGAACAACUAACGCUCCAGCCCACAAUGUUCCAGCCCACCACAUGUAGAUGCCUCAACUUGGUCAUGUUCCAUAUGGUAUCUGGGAAUGAAACAGUACCAGAUUCAGCAAUCACAACAAAAGUUUCUAAGUCGGAGAGCUUGUCAAUUGUGAAGGGAAUGGAACUCAUUGCACCCUG